rnacentral:lncRNA from 1 species
AUUAAUUUCUUCAAUCAAUAUACGAAGGUAAGUUAAUUACUUUUCGAUUUAUUUACUUUGACAUGGCGAAAAUUACCCCAGUGAUAUUUCGUAACUUGUGUAAGUAUAGAUGGAAAGACUGAUAGGAUGUUCCCUUCCUCCCUCUCUUUACACACGCACACAUAUAUACAUAUACAUACAUACACAUACAGAUAUACGUGUAUAUACACACACACGCAUAUAUAUUACAUAAAACAAAAAAGAAACUUGAUUAUUUCCGAAGAGUAGUACUAGAUAACAUUAUUACUUUAUAUAUUUGUGGGGUUUAAUGAAAUGUAAGUGAUGAGUUAGUCAAUGCUUAUUUGUUAAAGGUACCAGCAGAUUACUUGGAUGUGUCUGUUGGUGUGCGCUUGUUCGUGUCCCCUUUCGCAGGCGUAAAACGAACACACCUAUUACAGAAAUUACAAUAUGAAAGGUAUUAUAUGAUGUUAGGGAAGUAACUGUAGGAGAUAUUUUCUGCUAUCUCUCUAGCGAACAGGUUAUGGACUUUUGUCGCUAUUUACUCUUUUACUCUCAUUUAAUUGUUUCAGUCAUUUGACUGUGGCCAUGUUGGAGCACCACAUUUAGUCGAGCAUAUCGACCCCAGGACCUAUUCUUUGUAGGCCUAGUACUUAUUCUAUCGGUCUCUUUCGCUGAACCUCUAAGUUACGGGGACGUAAACAGACUAGCAUUAGUUGUGAAGUGAUGUUUGGGGACAAACACAGACACACACACACACACACACACACACACAUACAUAUAUAUAUAUAUAUAUAUAUAUAUAUAUAUAUAUCAACAUAUAUACGAUUGGAUUAUUUUAGUUUCCUUACACCAAAUCCAAUGAUAAGGCUUUGGUUGGCCCGGGGCUAUAGUCGUAGACAAUUGCACAAGAUGCCAGGCAGUGGGAAUGAACCCGAACAUAUGUGGUUCGUAAGCAAACUACUUUCCUGCGCCUAUAUUCAUAUAUGCGACGGAGUUCUUUCAUUUUCCAUCUACCAACUCCACUCAGAAGUCUUUGGUCGGCUCGAGGGUAUAGUUGAAUACACUUGCCGAAUGUGCCACGCUGUAAGACUGAACCCAGCACAUUGCGGUUCAUAAGGAAACUGCUUAUUACACGGCCAUACAUGUAUAUAAAAGACAAUCUAUUGUCUUCUCAAGCAUGACAUGUCACCAAAGGUGUCAGUCAUUAGUCGUUGCGUCCGUGAGUUUCAACAGUCAAAGAUGAUGCUUUACCACCUUGUCCAAUGCCUUCUUAACCCUUUCGUUACGAAACCGCCCGAAAAAAAUUUUGGUUAAUGUGACCAAACCGCCCCAACCCGCCCGAAUUGACCUAGUCAUAUUUAAAUAAAAAUAUCAGAGCAAAUCUCGUUAGUACAUUCUCGAAAACACGUAAUUAUACUUCGUAAACAUUCAUCUACAGUUUUGUACAACGAUCGACGUGUUAUUUUGAUUCCGUGAAUUUUUUGAGAUUUUUUUCCAAAUUUGUUCCUGUUAUAUUUUUAAAAUUUGUAAUUCUGACAAAAAAUGGAUACAAAUUUCGUUCUGUGAAGCAGCGAUUCGGUAUUCGAAGUAUUUUCUACUGAAGACCUUAAUAAAUCUCACGCUAUGACUGAAAAAGAAAAGCACUUGGUAUUUGAAAAUGAAUCCGAUGUUUCAUUUUCCGAUAGUGAGACCAGUGAUUCCGAGAACUCCGACAGCGAUGAAGAAGAUGUAUUGGCUCCUGAAUGGAGUGAAAAUUUAAAAACUGUUUCUUCUAGUGAUUUUCCUGAAGAAACUGGACCAAGCCACAGUCUUUCUCAGGAGAGUAAAGCGAUAGACUAUUUUUUUUUAUUAUUUCCAGUGAGUCUGUUUGAACUCAUUACGGCGGAAACGAACCGUUACGCUAAAUGUAAACAAAGUGAAAGAAAAGAUAGUUUGUGGUUUCCCACAACAUUAAAUGAAAUGAAGGACUAUUUUGCCAUUAAUAUUAUUAUGGGUAUCAGGAAGUUACCCAGAAUAACAAAUUACUGUAGUAGCGAUGAGCCCUUUGGAGACAAGUAUGUCUCAAGUAUAAUGACGAGGACACGAUUUCUAAAAUUGACCCAAUAUUUGCAUGUAAGAGACACGAGCAGUACACCAGUACGUGGAGAACCAGGCUUUGAUCCCUUAUUUAAAAUAAGACCCAUUAUCGACUGUGUUCUAAACACAUAUAAAACUGUUUAUAAACUGUGGAGAUGGUUAUCAAUUGAUGAGGGCAUGGUGGACUAUAAAGGCCGGGUACGUUUCCGAAAGUACAUGCCCGGAAAACCCACAAAAUGGUGGAUCAAAGUCUGGAAGAAUUGCGAAUCAAAUACUGGGUACUGCUCAGGAUUUGAAUUUUAUACAGGCAAAAGAGACAAUCAUGUAAGUCAGCAUGGCCUAGGGUACGAUGUGGUCUUGAAUUUAUCACUUCCAUACCAUAACCAGGGCCGUAUAUUAUUUUUUGACCGAUUUUUCAGUUCGGUCAAACUUGCGGAGAAUUUAGAUACUGUGGCAACACAUACAUGUGCUACAGUGAUCGCUUGUAGAAUAGGACUGCCGUUGGAUAUAAAAAAAGCAAAAUUAAAAAAAAAAAAGGUGAAAUAAUUCAACGGCAGAAAGGAAAUUUGCUAGCGACCGCAUAGAGAUAAGAGGCAGAUCAAUUUUCUGUCUACCUGUGCACGGCCACAUGUGGAUGAAAAUGGCACGCCAUUUGUGAGCUUCGAUUAUAACAGGUACAUAGGUGGUGUAGAUCAGCUGAAUCAGAUGAUGUCUUACUAUCCAGUUGGCAGACCGGGGAAUAAAUGGUGGUGAUACCUGGUUUGGUAUAUAGUAAACAUGAGUAUUACUAAUGCGUUUAUACUAUAUACCAAAUCGUGACCGGCUCGGAAGCGAUGCGACUAUCUGCGGUUCCAAGCAGAUGUAGCAACGCAACUAAGAGCUGGUUAUUCCUCAAAAAAAUAACUGUAGGGAGAAAAAGCAAAGCCUGCCAGAGGGAUAUCCCUCUGAAUUCAGCCAAUAUCCAUAAAUUAGACAAAAUUGAGGGUUGCAAAAAGCAGUGUCGCGAAUGCCUGCAUCUAAAAAGGAAAGCUCCUAGUGGAUGGGCUGUUGAAACAACUUUCCAAUGUGCAUUCUGCAAGGUUGCAUUAUGUCGAGUAGGGUGCUUUAGAAGUUUUCACGAUAGGAAUAUUGUUUGAUUUGUAUCUAUGUGUGAUAUGAUUUUAUAAAUAUUUUCAAAUUUACUUUGUUUUUAUUUUUAUUUCUGUAAUUUUAAUUUACUUGUUAUUUUAAUUUACCUGUAAGGUGGGUGACGAAUUUUGAUUAAUUUCUUUUGUAAAUCAUUAUUGUAUUUAUGUAUGUAUCUAUGCAUUAUUGUAUCUGUGUAUCUAUGUAUGUGGGAGAGCUUAUUUAAUCUAGUUGAUGGUGUCUGUCUAUUUUGUUUUCUAGUUUUCUUCAGAGACAAAUUCCAGUCUUUUGAUUUACUUAUACCUUCAUGGUACACCUGUCUUGUGUGUGUUUAAAUUCACCUGAUGAAUCCAGUAAUGUGCACAACUCUUCUAUAGUAAAAUUUUGUUGUAUACCUAAUUGAAUAUUAGCUAAUAACCCAUUUUCUAUAGCGAUGUUUGAACAAAAAUUUUAAUAAUUUUAUAUUUUGUUGAAUUUACCUGUAUUUACCUGCAAUUAGAGUCACUUUGUGACCAAAGUUAUUGUAUAGAAUUGGUUGAGAACCUUUCAUUAAAUUAUCUUCCAAAAAUCAGAUUAAUAUAUUGAUAAAUAAACAAAUUAUAGUUGUUUAAUUAAACCAGACUAAAUUUAUGAUUAUGUUAGAAAUUAAUUGAAACACAUAAGGGGUGUAAUUUGGUCAGAAAUAUAGUAACUACUUCUUCCACAGCUUCUCUCAACUGUUAGAGAUCAGAACUUCUCCAGACAGCUGUCCUCAUCUACAUGCAUCACAUGACCACACCAGCUCAGUCGUCUUUCUUGCACACUAUACCUGAUGAUUCUUAUGCCUAAAUUUUCUCUCAAAACAUUUAGAUUUUGUUGUGCAUGCACAAUGAUAUUGCACAUCCAGUGAAGCAUGCUAGCUUAAUUUUCUCCAAUCCUAUACAUGUUCUCUGCAGUCACAGACCAUGUUUAACUGCCAUGUAGCAUAGCUGUCUGCACAGGCAUCAUAAAUCUGCCUUUCACUCUGAAGGAGAGUCCCUUAGUUACCAAACAAAGGAACGAGCUCCCUGAAUUUGCUCAGCCUAUCUUUAUUUUUGCAGCCACACUCUUGAUUCAUCCACCUCUGCUACUGACUUUUUUACUCAACGAUCUCUAUCGUACACCUCUGGCAUUUGAUGAAGUCCAUUUUCUGUACAUACAUGUGCACCUUCCACAUACAAAAUGUAUUUUCCCAGUUUACCUUCCUCUGAUAUUUCAACACCUAUUAUGUGUUACACUGAGUACAUCUACCUACCCGUUUCCUUCAAAUUGAGUAGGGCCAUCUACCUGAAGGGCUUUACAAUUUUUCUGCUUUCCUACUUACUAAGACUUUGAUUUUGGGUAGGUUAAUUCUAUUGCCUCUUGAUUCUCGACAUUGCUUACAUAAGAGAAAUUUGUUAUCUAGUUCUGUUAGUGAUUUAGUUAUAAGAAACUCUUCAGUAAAUAAGUUUGAAAACUGUUUGCUUUCACAAACACUUUAUGUACACUGAUUGAAGCAAUGAAAAAACUCCUUAGUAUACCUGAAACGUGAAGGAAAACAUGGUGGAUAAUGAAACGAAUAAGGUAUGGCUAAUUGAAUGUAAUGUAAUAAAUGAUAAUAUAUGUAUGUUUAGUUGUAAUCCUCUAUUCCCUCCCCAAGAGGGAAGCAAAGAAGACUGAUAAUAUGUAUUAAAUGGUUAACGAAAAUACGAUAAUUAGUGUUAGAGACAAUUAAUCAAUAUUGAUGAUGUGACGAUAAAAGGGCAAUGUGACAUUUGUGCGUCAUGCUUUUGUGACAGUCUUUGCGAGUCUGGCAGAGCGACAAACAGGAUAAUUGCUGGAUGGGGAAUAAACUGCAUCCGGCAAGGGUCUAACGCCCAUCCCUUCGUCACUGCCUCUAUUCAUGCCGACGCAAGCAUCGGGUUUCGCCAGUUCCCUUUCACGACCGACCCAAGCUAUCCGUUACAACGCUAUGGCAGACACUGAAUGCCAGUUGUGUCUAUCUGGGAAAAGUCUCCUAUCUAAAGAGGGCCUGGAUUAGCGUGAACUUAAAGUGGUCAACAUAACAAUGAGUGCUGCUCAUAGCAGUUCCAUAGAUAUCGUCAGUGUCCUGACCCGAAGUGCACGACCCGUGAAUAUGCGUACAUCACUCCUUCAACUGACAAACUGUUCCUCUCCAACCAAGCGUGUGCCACCCUCGUGCUAUUCAUCUCCAAUUCUCCAGAAUUGGAGAAAAGUGUGGCUAUGUAGUCGCCCCGACCUAGAUAUCUGGAACCGAUGUUAUCUGCUUCAUAUUGACAUCGAUUGGAAAAAGUGUAAACAGCCCAUACUAUUGCGUUGUGUCGUCUAGAAAGGAAACGAUUUAAUGUAUCUUUGAUAGAAGGGUAGAUUCUUAACCCAUUUAACUGGUUAUAAAGAUGUUUAUAAUUAUGUCCGUCGUUUUCAAAGGGAGAUUAUAUUUAAACACUUGAAAGUCAUGGCAAGAGUUGUGUUUCUUGUUUGUAAGGGAGGUAAUUUUAAAAUACGUCUUGGUAUUUUAACAAAUCUUAGUUGUUACUUCCCUUACAAAGGGAAAUAUAUAUAUAUUUUUGAAUAUUUAAGUGAGAUUUUUGCCUUCAAAUAUCUUAAAUUUGGCAGGCACAAUGUAUGGAACCACGGGUAUGAAGGUGAAAUCGAUUCAGACGGAAUCUGAACUCGGAACAUAAAUUUUGACAAAAUAUAAAACUGUCUCGUUUAUUUUUCUUUAAUACACGCACACACGUGUGUUUGGAUAUAUCUAUAUAUCUGCAUGCAUGUGUGUGUGUGUAGUGUUUCCGUGAAAGUGUUUGUAUGCGUGUACGUGUUGCGCGUUUGUAUGUGUGUGCGUGUGUAUCUAUAUGUAUGUAUGUGUGUGUGCGUGUGUAUCUAUAUGUAUGUAUGUGUGUGUGCGUGUGUAUCUAUAUGUAUGUAUGUGUGUGUGUGUUAUAGUGAGGUUUAGGCUUAGGGCUAUAUGGUUAGUUUUUGUUUUCUCGUACACAAUGACUUCGACAUGGUGUCACUUUGCUCGUCUUACAGCUGUUGCUCGUCAUUCACCUUGUCGCCUCCAUCUCUGUACAUUACUCCUUUCUUUCCUAAUAAGUCUUGUUCCUUUCGUGAAGUAGAAGACAUCUUGUUAUAUUUCACGUCCCUUGGUAACAAAUAUUCAACAAUGCCCCAUUGCCUACUAUAAUAGGAGAAAGGAAACCAAGGAUGGAAACAUGUAAUUCUUCUACUGUUUUCCACAGGAUAUAGUAAUUUGUUGUUAAACAUAUUCGUAAAGAUAUUGCGUUUCCGAAUAUGUAAUGACUAGUGGUUACUUGAUAAUAUACGUUGACGCAUAAGAAAAUAUUUCUGAUAUCUCCUAUUAUUUAUGUGUAGAUCACAAUUUUUUUCGACCUCGUUUGUGAGAUUAGGAAGUAAAGAAAUGGUGGUUAAAGAAGCAGACAAUAGAACUCUGUCUACUGUCUGUCAGUGAAUUUGAUACCGUAAUGUUCGCGAAUUAGAGAAUCCUCCUUCCAGUAGCAGUUACAAUUUUAUUUAUUGAUCCUCUUUUGCUUGUAAUCGUUGCCUUGCUUUGUAGACGUCAGUGCCCAUCGGACAGCGUGGCAACAGUCCCAUUCAAUGAAAAUCUCACCCGACAAGGUCCGUCAUCGCCGCAGCUGUAAGUAACGAGGAGUGACCUUACUUUGAGCUGAGAUGUUCAGACUACACACAAGCCAUUGGAUUUAGGUGUAACAACAUAGUCUUCCAUUUUCUCGAAUGCUGCAAUAAGACCUUCAGAAAAGAUCUCACAUGGACGUUUGGUGCACUGGCCUCCAGCGAUGAAAGAAGAGUCCUCACUCACAUUAAGUCCAUGGCUGUCCGCCAAGAAAAUGUGAUGGGCGUUCGUGUGCAGGUAUGGCAAAUACGCCUGGAUCGAGACGAACCUGUCGGGAGAUUUGCUGCAUAUCUUCGAUGGCAGUCAUGUGUCUGUAACUUUGAAGUUGAAUGCCGCUGGGAGGCCUUUGUAUGCCACGAUUGAUUACAGCGACGUCAUAGUUCACAAUGCUCAUGUACGUGUGUUGGAGGAUGAGGAGAUACGCCUUGACACCAUCGGUGACUCGAAGUAAGAGAUGACCUUGGAAGAAGCCUCGAUGUACGUCGAGAAAAAAGUGCAAAACGCUCAGCCAGCCGCUUCUUGGGCCACAGCACUUCCUCGAUCACCGUGGCCUCAAGUUCAAAUAGGCAGCACUUUCAGCGUUUGGUCAAUAAAUGCGGCAAACCCAUGAUACACCCAGCGCAAAUCCUUGCAGUCACUGCAGAAAGCACGAUUAUAGACGUCAUGUACAGGAAGGCAUGAAGAAAUUCUCUGCCUACAACCACAACUAGGCUACGUGUGGCAUCCUGUAUCACCAUGAGAAUGUCUUCCACCGAUAACGCCGUCCUUAUCAGCAGGUUCCAAUCAACGCAGCUGACAUGGAAGACCACGCAUCUGCAAUAUUCAACAGCCUAUGGCUUCUAGUCGAGCUCCCAAACGGAUUAUCUACCCUACUAAUAAUUGUUGACAACAUGUGUAUAAUGAACCCUGCAAUUCCUUGAUAAAAUUCUCUUCAGACCUUCAUCCCUUUGUCACUACCUUCAUUCAUACCGAUGCAGCUGCCACGAAGAAAUCGGGCUUCGCCACUCCCCUUUCACGACCGACCGAAGCUCUCCGUCGCAACGCUAUAACAGACACUGGAUGCCAGUCGUGCCUGGCUGGACGAGGUCUAUGGAAACAGGGCCUGGACCAGCGUUGAUGUAAACGAUUUUAUCUGCUUUGUAUUGACAUCGUUUUCAAAGGGAAAUUAUAUUUAAACGCUUCCCUACAUCCCUUAGGAGGUAAUUUGAAAAGAUGUGAGAUUUUUGCCUUUAAAUAUCGUAAAUGUGUCUUAAAUGUGGCAGGCAUAAUGUAUGAAUCCAAGGGUGUGGAAGUGAAGUCGACUCUGACAGAAAGGAAACUCCAAACAUAAAGUCUGACAAAGUACAACUAGCUCAUGCACCUUUCUUUAAACACUCUCUCUCACAUAUGUAUGUAUGUAUGUAUGUAUGUAUGUAUGUAUGCAUCUGCACGUGUGUGUAGUAUUUGAUUGAAGGUGUAUGUAUGCAUGUUCGUAUGUGUGCUAGGAGUUUGUAUGUGUGUAUAGUGCGUGUAUAUGUAUGUAUGUGUGUGUGUUAUAGUGAGGUUUAGGGUUAGUUGUCUUUUUGACUCUCGUACACGAUUACUUCGACAUACGUCCACCUUGUUCAUCUUACAGCUGUUGCUCGUCAUUCACUUUGUUGCCUCCAUCUCUGUACUUAACUCUUUUCUUCCCUAAUAAAUCUUGUUCCUUUCGUGAAGUAGAAGACAUCUUAUUACAUUUCACGCCCCCUGGUAACAAAUAUUCAAUCAUGCCCAAUUCACUACUACAAUAGGAGAAAUGUAACCAAGGAAGGCAAUAUGUAGCUCUUGUACUGUUAACUACAUGAUAUAGUGAUUUCUUGUUAAACAUAUUCGUGAAAAUAUGUUUACAUCAUGAAAAGGACUCUCUCUCUCUAUCCGCUCAGUCGAAGUCGACUCUUGGUCACUCAUUGGAUCAUUGUCCUCUAGUCAGUUCUAUCCUGGGCCGCUUCUUUCAGAUUGGCUAUGUGCAUUCUGGUAUCACUCUUGAUGGUGUCAAGCCAGCGGGUUCUUGGUCGGCCUCUUCCUCUCUUGCCACUAACCAUUCCGAGCAUGAUGUUCUUUUUCAGGGAUUUUCUCUGCAUAAUAUGACUGAAAUAUGCCAAUCUAUGCUUCGUGAUCCUAGCUUCUAGAGGUAUAUUCGGCCUUAUCUGCUUAAGAACUCCUCGGUUUGGUGAGCCUCACUGUCCAUGGAAUCCAUAAAAGUCUUCUCCAGCACCAAAGCUCGAAUGCAUUAAUUCUCUUCUGGUCAGCAUAAGGAGAAGAUAUUUCUGAUGUGUGAUUCAAAAGUUUUUUUCGAUCUUGUUUGUGAGAUUCCGAAGUAAAGAAAUGGUGGUUGAAGACGUAGGAAACAGAACUGUUUCUACUGGCUGUCAGUGCAUUCAAUACCGUAAUAUUCGCGAAUUCGGGAAUUCUCCUUCCACUAGUAGUUACAAUUUUAUUCGUUGAUCCUUUUUUGCAUCUAACUGUUGCCUUGCUUUGUAGACGUCACUGCCCAUCGGAAUGCUUGGCAAUAAGUAGCUCCAAUGCAAUUCUCAUUCGAGAAGGUCUGCUGCCCCGUCAUCCCCGCAGCUGGAACUAGCAAGAAACGGGCUUACUUUGAACUGAGAUGUUCAAACUACACACAAGAUAGUGGACUUAGGUGUAACGAAGUAGUCUUUCAGCUUUUCGAAUGUUGCAAUGGGACACUCAGAAAAGAUUUAACAUGGAUAUUCGGUGUGUUGGCCUCCAGUGAUGAGCGAACUGUUCUCAAUCACAUUACGUCCAUGGUUGUCCGCAAAGAAAAUGUGAUGGUCGUUCUUGUGCAUGAAGGACAAAUGCGCCUGGAUCUGGAGGAAUCCGUUAGGACAUUGACUGCAUGUCGUCGAUGGCAGUGUGCAACCUCAAAGUAGUAUGCCCCUGGAACGUCAUAGUUCGCGAUGUUCUUGUAAGUGUGUCGGAGUACGAGGAGAUACGCCUUGACACAAUGGGUGACUGGAAGUAAGACAUAACAUUGGAAGAAGCUCCAAAGUACGUCGAGGCAAAAGAAAGUGGAGAACUCUCAGCCAGCUGUCUCAUGGGCCUUAGCACUACCCAAUCACUGUGGCAUUUAGUUCAUAUAAGGACCAGGAGCGGCAACGAUGGGUCAAUAAAUCCGACUAACUCCGUGAUAUACCCACCGCCAACCCCUGCAUUCACUGCAGAAAACUCAAUUACAGACGUCGUGUACAGGAAUGCACGCGGAAAUGCUUCACCUGCAACCACAAAUACGCUUGGUGUGUCAUCCUGUAUCAAUAUGAGAGUGUCUUCCGCCGAUAACGCCGUCCUCAUCAGCACGUUCAAAUCAACACAGCUGAUACGGAAGACCACACUUCUGCAAUAUUCAACAGCCUAUGGCUUCUGGUCGACCUCCCUAACGAAUCCUCUACUUAAGCUAUGAUUCUUGACCACCAUAUAUAUAAUGAACCCUGGUAUUCGUGGGGGAAAAAGUUCUUCUGAUAGCCAUCAUUAUAUCACUAACUUCAUUCAAGCAGACACACUUGCCAGGAAGGCAUCGGGUUUUGCCACUUCCCUUUCACGAUCGACUCAAUUUAUCCGUCACAACGUUAUGGCAGACACUGGAUUCCAGUAGUGUCUGGUUGGACGAAGUAUAUCGAAACAGGGCCUGGACCAGCUUCAAUGUAAAUUGGUCACGAUGAAAAUGAGUGCUGCUCACAACAGCUCAAUAGAUAUCGUCAGUGUCCUAACCCUACGUAUAUCAGGGACUACUCCAUCAUCUGUGAAGUGCACGACCCGUCUAUUUGCCUACAUCAUUCCUUCAAGUGACAAACUUUUUCUUUCCAAGGAAGUGUGUUCCACCCUCGUGUUCUUCCUCUCAACUUCUUCAGAAUUGGCGAAAGCUGUGUGAAUGUAGUCAUCCCGAUGGUAACAUCUCGAAACGAUGUUAUCUACUUCGUAUUGACAUCGAUUGGAAAAAGGGAACCCAACCUAUAGUAUUAGGUUCUGUUGUGUAGAAAGGAAACGAUUCAAUGUAUACAUCAGAAAAGGGCAGAUCCUUAUCCCAUUUAAUAUUUUUGUUGGCGUACGGCACCACAAAAAUUGUGUAUAGAGUAGUUUAUAAUUAUGUCCAUCGUUUUUAAAGGGAAAUUAUAUUUAAAUAAUUAACAUUUCAAAGUCAUGGCAAGAGUUGUUUUUCUUGUUGGUUAAGGGAGUUAAUUUGAAGUGUUUGACACUUCCCCAAUGUUGAUUUUUAGAGUGACCUCCCUUACAGUGGGAUUUAUAUUUUUGAAUUUUUAUGUUAGAUUUUUACAUUGAAUUAUCGUAAAUGUGUCUUAAAUUUGGCAGGUACACAGGGGUGUACACAUACAUGAUGAAUUUAUUGUGUAGUUUUAAUAAAAGUUGGCCCCACAUUGCUUGCAUUUAUAUCUUUCCUGCGACAUGUAAAAGUUUCCAUUUGCAUAAUGCUUGGCUGUAAUAUAAAUGGUUUACAGAAAGAAUUGCUAGUUGUCACUUCAAAUAAAGAGUAGUGAACUGAAAUUAAAGCCAAAAUUUUCCUUUCACUACUAUUACGAUGUUUUUCUUUUUUACUUUCAGAGUUAAAAAAUGAAUGAUUACACUUAUGGGUUUACAUGCAGACUUUUGUUUACCUUAUAUCCUACUAUAUGCUGGAUAUACCAAUUUCACGAAGCGGGGAUAGACACAACUGUCUUCACACAACCUGCAUCAGAUUACUCCACUAAACACAAUUCUCCAAUAAAUACAAACUCUGAACAACAUCAACAACUUCCAUGAACUCUUAUGGCUCUCUUUGUCUCAACCAAUAUGCUAGUUUUUGUUAUAAGAGUUUUGCUAGUCCAUUCAUCCAAUCCCAUAGGGGUGCCAAUGACUUUCACCACAACAGUUUAUACAUGUAGACUUUUCUUUAUACAUGUGGAUUUUACCAAACAAGUAGCCCCAUGCGAAACUUCACCUGUAAGUACAUACGUUUUUUGUUAAUUUAUUAAGUAUUCUGUUAGUUAACUGUAGCUGUUUGUAAAUUGAACACCUGUUUCUCUUUGUAUAUUUAAAAAUUUCUAUAAGACAUAUAUGUUUGCAAAUGUAAAAUACGUUUGUUUCCCAGUCUAGUUCUACUGUGUGGCAUUUUGGGCAAGAGUCUUCGACUAUAGGUAGGGACCAACAAAUGCAUUUUUAUUAAAAGUGGUUGAUGGGAACUAUAUGAAGUUUAUUGCAUGUGUGUGAUGUAUAUUAUAGGUAACUGUUAACAAAAAGUGCAAAAUACUCAUUGAAAAAUGUAAAUAAUUUAGAGUAAUAUCAAGAAGGGAUGUGGAAUGGAUAGUGACAGGUCUGGCUUGGAAGGUGGUAUUGCAGCCUGGGCCUAUGUGUCAUCUUGCUACUGCAAGAGAGUACAGACCAUUCAAUGUUUGUGAAAUAUUGGCAUCUCAGAUUAUGAAUCCUCUUCAACUUUCCCUGAAAGUGGAUCAGUUUUUGAAUCAUAGGAGUUGUAGUGAUAUAACAUAGACAAUGUUAUUGUCUAAAAUGAAGGUCACUUCACUGUACAUUGGUUGGUGAGUGCAAUUGGGAGGCUUGUGUAAUGUUUGAAAAAAAAAGUUAAAGAAUUUCAUAGUUUCUACAAUGUGAGAGAUUUCUCUUUGGAUUUACUGAUUACCUUGAUGUCAGUGAGAUUGCCAUUGUCAAACAAGAGAUUUGUUACCUUAGUAAGUGUCUACCCUCCAACCAUGUGUUCCUCUGAAGAGAAAAAAAUAUCUUUCAUGAAAAAAGCUUCUGUGCAGUGUUCUUUCUGCUUAUAAAAUCUUUAUACUUGUUGAUUUCAAUGAAAGCAUUUGCAGAGUUAAAAAAUAUUUGGAUACAAUUGGGAAACAUGAAGCCAGAAAAUGCAAUAGUAAUGGCUUGUUAGUACUGCAAAUGUAUGAUGUGUUUGAUUUUUGCAUAUACUGAGUAAUUGUCAAUCUCCUAGUGUGGAGCAUGCUGUAUUUGAGCACCAAAUAUGUGGGAGUAUUUAUGUGAUCAAGAUGAAAGGCAAUUAGGUCUCUCAUUAAUUUCUUUUUGUUGAGUUGGCCCUGAGGAAAAAUUUAGGCAACAAAUUGAAAUUAAGGCAUGAAUGCAUUAGAGACACUUAGAGGAUCUAAAUCAAAUUAGAGAAAGUGAAAACAUCACAAAGUUUUUGAUGGAAAAAAUUGUUUCAUGUUGGAAUGAGUGAAUUUGAAUGAAUGUCAAUAAAAUCUUAGUGUGCAUGAAAAGCUUGAGAGAGAUUUUUGAAAAGGUCUUAAUAUUAAUGUUUCCAUUGUGUUUUGCUUCAAAAACUACAUAGACAUGACAGAAUUAAAUAGACAUCCUUAUAAUUGUUAAAAUUUAUUUAAAUUAUUUAUUAAUUAUUAUAAUGUGAAUAUCUAAUAUUUAGUAGACAGGCUCCUUGCAUUUUUGAAUGCAAGGACCCUAGCAGGCAAGCUACUGAUCUGAUGAAUAUUCUCUUCAUGAUUUUCUUGCCAAGUUUCUUGCAGUAAUAUCAAAAGAUUUGGCUUUAAGGAUGCUUUCUUUUUCUUUUUAGGAAGUAUCUCAUCCAUCAUGCCUCAGAGGUGUUCAGUAGUGUUCAUAUCUGGUGAUUGGCUUAGCUAUGGAAGCUUUUUAAUGCCAUUCUGUUCCAACCAAUCCUGGGUCUUUUAGUUGUGCAAGAAAGCCCUAUCUUCCAUAAAUAGUGUUAUUUAAUCAUUUUACCCCUGGAGGUUAUAGGAAGAAAAUUUUUCUAUAAUAUGGACACAUAUUUAUCUGAGUUUAUGUAUCCCUCACAUUCCACCAUUUCUUAUUGACUAUUGCUCCAAACUGCUCUCCAGACCAUCACAUGUUUCAUUGUUGGCUGCAAUAUAUUCACGUGAAAAUAUUGUUGACUGAUUCUCCAGACCCACAUUCGACCAGUGUCAGAAAAUACAGCAAAUCUGGAUUCAUCAGAGAAUUUGACAGUGUCCCAAAGUGCUAGUGACCUCUCUACCAUUUCACUUGUCCAAUCUUUUCUCUAUUUGAUAUUGGCUGGUCGAAGCAGUGUCUUCUUUCUUGCUGCUCUGCCAUAAUAGCCAAUUUUGCGGAGAUAACUGACAGCUAUUCUGGGACUGACAUCAACUUAUUCUGCUAUAUUGGAGGCCUUGCAAUGAGGAUUAUCUUACACACUUCUCUUAAGAAAGCAAAGUGUUGUCAGAGGGCCUUAGUCUACCUGGGUAAGGUGAUAUGGACUACUUUCCUGUUUAGUGAAUUGAAAAAUUACUCUAUUUACUGUAGGAAGUAGAAUCACAAUGUUUUCUGUGGUUUUAGGCUAAGUCAGCCUUGAAAUAGGUGCAGCAUAUGGCCUCUUUGUAAAUUGGACAUUUUUAAGGCUUCUUUUGUACAUGGCAUGAUUAAACAGUUACAUAUAGAACCUGAAACAUAUAAAUGUCAAUUAAUAAAAAAAAUAUAAACCUCUUCAAGUUAUAAUAACAAUGUGUUAAUGGGUAUCUAUUUACUUUUGUCAUGUUUGUGUACAAAUGUAUCAUUUGUUACAACUGCACUUUGAAAGAAAAAGAAAACCUUUAGUAGAAAAUUAGCAUUAGCUACGACAAUGUUACCCAACUAUUAAAUCUUAUAUUUUUCAAACUCAUGCUAGGAUGGAAAAAUGAACGUAGGUAUGAGACUUAUUUUUACACAUGUAUUGAUGCAUAUAAAACAUGAAAUUAUGUUGUCUACAUACUUAAAUAUUUGCAAUUAAUUCAUUGUAAGAACAUAGAAUUUCGACAGGUUUUCUUGAGUUGUUGCUCAUCUACAAUAAUCUGAUAAAUUUGAGGUUAUUGUUGGUUGCAUAAGAUUGUCAUUGAAUUUUCUCUAGACAGAAGUAUCUAAUCAUUUUAUCCAUACUAGCAUGGGUUGUGUGUAUCAUGUUGAUAUCUGUUUCAGUUUAAUUCCCUCUGCAAUAGUUUCUUUUUUUUGUGUUUAUGCAAUAUGGUACUUUCAUAAAAUACAGUUGUCUCUUGCCUUACACAGUAUUCUGUUUCUUACUUUCACUUUAGCACAAUUUUGCUCAAUUUCCUCUAUUUGUUUCUUUUUGUUUUUGUUUUUACAAAUAUAGAAGUAGUACCUGCUUCAGUUUCUCAUAAUAUUUUGUUAAAUAUUUUUGAAUUUGAAAUAUUAAAAUUGAUUUCACUGGAAAUGAAAAUUCAAUGUAUAAAAUUAACUUUAAACUAGAUGUUCAGCAUAAAAUGCAAAAGUUUUACAAAAAGAAUUGUCAUCAUCAUCAUCAUCAUUUAAUGUCCAUUAUCUAUGCUGGCAUGUGUUGGACAGUUUCAUCAGGGCUGGUAAGCUGAGGGUCUGCAGCAGACUCCAGUCUGAUUUGUCAUUGUUUGUAUGGCUGGAUGUUCUUCUUAACAUCAAGCACUCCAUAAGUGUUGUGGGCAGGGGUUGUGAAAAAAAUUAAUUACAGUAUAUUGUCUUCUAAGGCACGGCAUGUCAUGAAAGGUGUCGGUCAUUAGUCAUUGCCUUUAUAAGUUUCAACAGUCAAAGAUCAUGCAUUACCACCUUGUCCAAUGCCUUCUUAUGUCUACUUCUUCUGCCAUGUAGCAUAGUUGUCUGCACAGGUAUAAUAAAUAUGGCUUUCACUCUGAAGGAGAGAACCUUAGUUACCAAACAGAGGAAGGAGCUCUCUGAAUUUGCUCAGCCUAUUUUUAUUCUUGCAGCCACACUCUUGGUUCAUCCACCUCUGCUACUGACUUUGUUGCUCAACAAUCUUUAUCGUACUCCUCUGGUAUUUGAUGAAGCCCAUUUUCUGUACACUUUUAUUGUUUACUGUACAUGUGCACCUUCCACAUGCAAAAAAUAUUUUCCCAGUUUACCUUCCUCUGAUAUUGCUACACCUAUUAUGUGUUAUACAGAGUACAUCUACCUACCUGUUUCCUUCAUAUUGAGGAUGGCCAUGUACCUGAAGGGCUUUACGAUUUAUCUGUUUUCCUACUUACUAAGACUUUGGGUUAUGGUUGGGUAGGUUAAUUCUGUGACCUUUCAAUUCUAGACCUUUCUUCCGUACGCACAAUUUGUUUUCUAGUUCUGGUAGUGAUUUAGCUAUAAGAAGAAGCUCAUUAGUAAAUAAGUGUGAAAACUCUUUGCUUUCACAAACACUUUAUGUACACUGAUUGAAGCAAUGAAAAAAAAGGUCCUCGGUAUACAUGAAACGUGAAGGAAAAUAUUUGGAUAAUGAAACUAAUAAUGUAUGGGUAAUUGAAUGUAAUGUAAUAAAUGAUAAUAUAUGAGUGUUCAGUUGUCAUCCUCUAUGCCCUCCCCAAUUCCUUUGAGAGAAGCAAAGAAGACUAAUAAUAUGUAUUAAAUGAUUAACGAAAAUAAUAAUUAGUGCAAGAGACCCUUAAUCAAUAUUGACGGUGUGACGAUCAAGGAGCAACGUGUCAGUUAUGCAUCAGGCUUUUGUUCAGUCUUUGUGAGUCUGGCAGAGCGACAAACAGGACAAUUGCUGGAUGGAGGAUAAACUGCAUCAGGCAAGGGUCACUUUUGGAAAGCAGGGGUUUCAAGGGGUGUUGGGGUAUGACCACUUGUGGUAAAGGUGGGGUAAGUUGGCGUGGCUCUGUGGGUAGGCGGUGAGAUGCAUUUCUGGUCAUGGUAAUUUUGGAGUCGGGAAGUGGGCAUUGGUGUUGCAGCUGCAUGAGGUGCUGUUAAAGUCGGUUGAGAAGGUAGUCUCAUUACUGGUGUUGGCGUAGGGAACGCAUGUGGUCCAGACACCAUGAGCAGUGGGCCAUGGGGAAGAAGCAGUAGAUACUUCCAGAGGAAUUUUGUUGCACAGUGUGACUUAGCCUGAUCCAUCCACUCUCAACAUGUACAGAUCGAAAUGACGUACAUCUAAAUGGCACCAGUUUUCCCCCCAUUUGUAGGAUUGGGUCAAACUUGGCUCUGGAUUAGGACAUAGUUCGAAAGAAGUGAGCAUGUGUGUUUUGACAACCGUUCAGUAGCACUCAUGUUGUGUUUACGCAGGUCUUCUUUUCAAUAAGUCGUAGUUUCAUGCCAUGUGGAAUGUAGCUUGUACUUGCCGGGAUGGAUGGGAAUAAAGUAUUGUAUAGGGCUGCCAAAGAUGCACAUAAUCAGCAUAGAGGAGUUGCUAGGGUCUGCCUGUUUUAUAUUCAUCUGUUAUUACCUGAAUGAUUAUGAUACCAACAAAAGUCAAGUACAUAGGUUUAUACUUGGUUAGGUACUUCUCCUGGGGUUUCAUACCAGAAAUAUAUCAUGACUGGUGUUUCUUCCUGAUACAAAACCAAAUUGCAUCUCAUCUAGAUUAAGUCUUUUCCUAACUAGUUGGGCUAUGAUCCUCUCCGUGAUUUUCAUCAUCUGAAGAAAUUAGUGCCAGUGCAAGCACUUUAUUUUUAAAGCAUACAUCAAGCAUAUGUUAACAUAUUAGCAAUGAGAAAGCGCUCUAAUCGAUGUCUACCUAUAUACAUACAUAUAUGCAGGGUGGCCAUGUAGUUUCUCUUCAGCGACACACCUCUGCCUGUCUCUCUAUCAUACUACAGGUUAGGAUGAAGCCACCUCUCUCACUACUAGCAGUCCACUAAUCCUUGAAAUUUACUUUUUAAUUUUACUAGUGUCGGUGUUACCAAAACUUUUCUCAGACAUAGAAACCAUGUGAAAACAGACAUUAGAUAUACGUGUAGUAAUUCAUCUCAGAUAGUGUGAAAUAGUCCAACCCAUGACAACAUGAAAAACGAAUGUUAAAUGAUGAUGACACACAUACACGUUAAUUGUAUUUCUUAUAUUAAUUUCAAUAAUUAAUUUGUUUCUAUUUAUAAAUAAAAACAAUUGAUUUCGCAUGAGAAUGAUUAGUUUGAUGACUUGUGGAAGCAAUGUACUGUGUAAAUGUAAGGACAACUGUAUUUAUUAAACAAGUGUAUUUCAUGAUUCGACACAUAGAUAAAACUUGACUUUCAAGUGUUGGUUGAUAUUUUGCUUGUUGUUUGCAUAUCAUGCCUUGUAUUAUAGAUCCCAAAUGGCCAAAGGUAAGUGGUUUUUCUUAUUUUGGUGUGGGUUUGCUGUUAGGAUUGUUUUUCAGAGUUUAGUCUAUAUUAGGGUCAGCUUGAGGAUUUGUGAAGGGUUUUUAGAGAGAAUAGUCAAGUAAGAGAUCAAAGUUUGAACUAGGGGUUAGGAUUUGGGGUGAUGAGGAGGGUAGAGAUUGAACAGGUUUAUUUAUAGUGUUGAUGACUGUUUUAUAUCGGGUUUAGCAUUGAAAAGCAGGGAUGAGGGCUGGGUGCUUAGAUAAGAUGCGGAUGUCAAGUUGACCUAAGUUAUCUCCAUGGUGGUCUUUGGCAUGUUGGUAGAGUAUAGAAGACUGUUUUCUGUCGUCAAGUUGUCUUAGAUGUUCAUUUAUCCGUUCCGCAAUGCUCUUAGACAUCUCCUCUAUGUACAUCAUGUUCAUGUCCUUACAAGCACCUUCUAUGCAUCUUAUAUUGUAAACUACACUUCGAGUUCUACAGUUAAUACCAGGGCUAAUUCUACAUGUCAUGCAGUUAUCAAUUGUGCAUAUGGUAUUCUUAAACGGGCAUGUCCUUCAUAAUUGUGACCUGAUGGAGUUCCUUGGCUUUUCAACAAUUUUAAUGUUGAGUUUGGUCUCUGUCAGAGCUUUUCUAAAUCUAAGGGCUAGUUCUCCAUGGGCUGUGGUCUCUACUAAUAUCACUCCUUGAAUUUUUACUGGUGAGUGUGUAUUUAAUAAUAAGGCACUAAAAGAGAAAGACUCUCCCCAGACACAACAGAAUAUACACUGUUUUCGCUAAUUACUCUUUCACUCACUUUUGCUACUUUCAGUUAUUUGACUGCGGCCAUGUUGGAGCACCGCCUUCAGUCAAACAAAUAGAGCCCAGGACCUAUUCUCUUUUACUGAACCGUUCAGUUACGGGUGCGUGAAAACAGCAGCAUCGUUUGUCAAGCGAUGUUCGAUGGAUAAAGAGGCAUACAAACGUAUAUGUAUGUAUGUAUAUAUAUAUAUAUAUAUAUAUAUAUAUACACACACAUACGAUGGGCUUCUUUUAGUUUCCGUCUACAAAAUCUAUUCACAAGGCUUUGGUCACCCCGAGGCUAUAGUUGAAGACACUUGUCCAAGGUUCCAUGCAGUGGGACUGAACCCAGAACACUGCGGUUCGUAAGCAAGCUACUUAUCACAAAGCCGCUCCUACGCCUAGCAGUAUAUAUAUAUAUAUAUAUAUAUAUAUAUAUAUAUAUAUAUAUAUUUAUCUACUUAUAAAACUGAAAUGCGAAAAGUUUGUUUGUUUGUUUGUCUCGAACGGUUUAAAGGCCACUACAUCCCUGUCGGAUUGACUCCCAAAUUUACGGUUCGUGAGCAAUCAUUCUCACAGAAAUGCGCGCACAACCAGACACAGAAUGUCACGGUUCAAAGGUCAACAUGUUUAAAACAUAAAUAGCUACGAGUUUGCGUAUAUGCAUGUCUCUAUGUGCAUGAGUGCGAACGUGUGUUUUCAGAAUGUCACAGUUUUAAGGUCAACAUAUUUAAAACAUAAAUAGGUACGAGAUUGCGUCUUUGCAUGUAUCUAUAUUCGUGAGUGCGGACUUGUGGGUGUUUGUGCGUGUGUGAGCACAGUCCACCUAUACGCAAGGUGGUUGCAUUGUCUCAUGGGAACCAGCCGUGAAAGUUCCGGACCCCAUUAAUGAACUCAUUUGCAUACAAACAAUUAGGGCUCACCUUGAACUUGUCCGGUUAACAAACAGUAGUGUCUGAAUGGGAAUUAGCUUGCUUACCUAACAAAUGUUUCCGAGUUCAGUCCCACUGGGUGGCAUGUUGGGCAAAUGUCUUCUACUAUAGUCUCGGGCCGACCCAAGCCUUGUGAGUGGAUUUGGGAGACGGAAACUAAAAGAAGACUGUCGUAUAUAUAUAUAUAUAUAUAUGUAGCAGUAAGAGUGGCUGUGGUAUGUAGCUUGCUUUCCAAACGCGGUGAUUCUGGUUCAGUCCAACUACGUGGCCCCAUGGGCAAGUGUCUUCCAAUAUAGCCUCGGACAGACCAACGUUUCUGAGUAGAUUUGGUACACGGAAACAGAAAGUAGCCCGUGGUAUAAUAGAUAUGACCAUUCCGAAAUAUAACAAUAUAUAUAUAUAUAUAUAUAUAUAUAUAUAUAUAUAUAUAGAGAGAGAGAGAGAGAAAGAGAGAGACAUAGGUAUAUAUUGACAGAUAUAUGUAUAUACAUAUAGAUAUUUAAACAUAUAAGGGAUGGCCAUAAUGGGACAUCUGACUCACUAGAGAGAGCAGUUAAACUCCAAAAAAGCGUAAAAGUGCAUGUCAUGUCUGAAUAAUAUUUUCGAGAGAUAUUUCCCUCUGCACAUUAUAAUUUAAUAAAAUUAAUAUAAUUAUAUGUAAGGAAAGUAACUCUGAGAGAUGUUAUCUAGUGGUCUCCCUUCCGCGAGAAUUAUAAUAUUCAAGGGAAGUAACUGUAGAAGAUACUGUGUAGUUAUCUCCCUUAAGUAUGUAGUUAUCGUAAUAUAGACUUUCUCGCUCUUAGACUCUUUCAGUUAUUUCACUGUGACCAUGGUGGAGCACCGCCUUUAGUCAAGCAAAUCAACCCCAGCAAUUAUUCUUUGUAUGCCUAUUACUUAACGUAUAGGUCUCUUUUGCAGAACCGCUAAGUUACGGGGACGUAAUGUUCGAUGUACUGAUUUAGUAGGUAUUUAUUUACUGUAAGAACUUCAAUUAUCAUAAAUUAUGGGCUAGGAAAAAUACUAGAAACUUUUUUGAUAUAUUUAUUGGGGCUCCUUGUGUGUGUGGGACUGUUUUUAUUUAUGUGAGUGCGGGUAUUUUCAUUUCAGUGUUUGUGUGUGUGUGUGAGUGUUUUUAUUUCUGUGUGUGCGACACAAAUACAACAAACACUUUGACCAUUUCUAAGAUACCCACAUUUGAGAUCACUAACUACUAAAUACAAAUAAGUUCAAUUUAUUGCACCUUUAGUGACUUGAGAUGUUGCUCAUAUUUUUGUCAUGUGUCGACAGUGUAUUAAUUUCACAAGUGGAUAAAAGAAAUUCUCAUACUGGCGUGGAGGGGGCUGAUAUUCUAACUGCGAGUUCAAUGCACCCAAUGCCCCUUUACAUUCUGAAUAAAUUGUAUGUUUGUGCUAUUUAGGGUUAGGGUUUUAUGUGUGAGUGUGUAACUGCGUUUUCGUUUCUGUGUGUGGGUGCGUAUGUUUGUGUGUGUGAGUGUGUGUUUGUGCGUAUGUGAGUGUGUGAGAGUUUGGAUGUGUAACUGUAUUUUUCAUUUCUAUUUGUGUGUCUGUGUUUGUGCAUGUGUAGGUAUGUAACUGUCUUCAUUUCUGUGUUUCUCCGCGUGUUUGAGUGUGUGAAUAUGUAGCUGUGUAUUUUCAUUUGUGUGUUUGUCUUUGUGCGUAUGUGAGUGUUUUUGUGAGUGGGACUUUUUAUAUGUGUGUGUGUGUGUUGGUAUUUUCAUUUCAGUGUUUGUGUGAAUGUUUUUAUUUUUGUGUGUACGUGUGUGUGAGCGACUGUGUUUUUAUUCGUUUGUGUGUGUGCGACAAUUACAGCUACAACAAACAGUUUAAGCAUCUCCAAGAUACCCACAUUUGCAGAUCCCUAAGUUCUAAAUGAAAAGAAGUUAAAUUUAUUGCACCUUUAGUGACUUCAGAUUUGCGAGUGUUAAGCACGCAAUGCCUCCCGUAUCUACAUACCUGGAUUGGCCAUAAUUGGCCUCAUUCAGAGAUCUCUCGGGUGUGGAAUAUUUAUAACUAUAGAAGUUAACUUGUUACAGGUUUUGUUUAUGGCUUAACUUAUUUAGAUUUUGGGAAGUUCAUAGAUGUUACUGGCUUUGCAUUGAAAUCUAGUCAAGCAAUUUGUCUCCUUUUUUGUUAAAUCGUGUUGGAACUUGUGGAUAAGAGUAGACAGUUUGGUCAUUACCUUCGAACGACUGUAGCUGUUGAUGUUUUUACCGACACAGGUGUAUUUUACUCCCUGUAUUUUAGCGGUUCGGCAAAAGAGAACAAGUUAGAAUAAAUACUAGGCUUACAAAGAAGUGCUGCGGACGAUGUGAUCGACUAAAGGCGGCGCUCCAGUAUUUAUAUAUAUAUAUAUAUAUAUAUAUAUAUAUAUAUAUAUUACAGAUAUAUACGCAUAUAUACUAUAUAAAACAAAAAAGAAACUUGAUUAUGUCAUUAUUACUUUAUUACAGAUAUUACAUGAAACGUAUUAUAUGACGUUAGGGAAGUAACUCUAGGAGAUAUUUUCUGCUGGGGACGUAGACAGACUAGCGUCCGUUGUGUAGCAUUGUUUGGGGACAAACAGACAUACGCACACACACAUACACACGUACACAUAUAUAUAAACAUAUAUAUGACUGCAUUUUUCUAGUUUCCUUCCACCAUAUCCAAUCACAAGGCUUUGGUCGGCUCGGGGCUAUAGUAGAUUUUUCAAACGAUGCUGGUGUGUUUUCCUCCCUGUAUUUGAGCGGCUCGGCAGAAAAGAAUAAGUUAGAAUAAAUACUAGGCUUAGAAAGAAUAAGUGCUGCUGACGAUGUGCUCGAAUAAGAUAGAUUGGUAUAUAUAUAUAUAUAUAUAUAUAUUUAUAAAGAUAUAUCACAUAUAUAUAAACUUAGAAAAACUUAGAUAUGUUUCGACCAAAGAUUAGUCCAGGCUAUGUCUAACUUAAUAGCACCAUUUAAUAGGAUUAUUCGAAUCCUGUUUAAGUCAAGUUUUGUUCAAGUAGUGAGUUCUUGUUGGGUGAGUUGUAUCCAGUUUUGUUCAAGUACUGAGUUCUUGUUGGGUCAGUUGUAUCCUAUUAUGGGUGGCUUAUCUGGUAUUCUUUGAAGGAAUCUAUCCAGACUCCGCUUAAAGUUGAUGGGAUCCUUUUCCUCUUUGAUCUCUUUCGGGACAAUGUUAAAUAGGGCAGGGCUUGUUGAGGAAAAGAAAUUAUGUUGCAGUGUACAUGUAUGUUGUCAUCUUGAAUUGGGCAGGGGACGUAUAGCCCGUGGUCCAAGUUUUGGAUGAACCUUGAAGCUAAUGUUUAGGUCGUUUGGGCAUAGUUGGCGGUAUAUUUUCCACAUCGUACAAAUGAUGUACCGCUCACGGCGACGCUGGAGGGAGUAAAGUUUCAAGGCUUUACGGCGAUCCCAAUAAUCGAGAGCAGCCAUGCCUUCAAUUCGUUUAGUGAGAGCCCUCUGGGGUGACUCAAUUCUGGAGAUGUUUUGUCUUGUGUGAGGAGACCACAGUGGGCAGCAGUAUUGAAGGUGUGGCCGUACAAAGGAGGAAAAAAGUGGUAUGAUGACACCUUGUUCUCUGGACCGGAAAGUUCUUAAGAUCCAGGAACUCAUCCUACGAGCUAUAUCGACCUUCUUGUUGAUGUGUGCACUCCAACUGAGAUCGUCAUCAACAAUUACACCCAGGUCUCUGAUAUUGUUAGAGGCUGUGAGCGGUUCCCCUGAAGGAAGAGAGUAUGGCUGUUUUAGUGAGGAGUUUCUUCCAAAAUGCAUCAGCUCAAAUUUUCCCUCGUUCAGUUGCAUUUUGUUUCUGUCUGCCCAUUGACUCACAGCAUAUAGAUCAGACUGGAGUUGAGUUCGGUCUGCUUCUUCAUUGACGAUUUGCUGGAGCUUGGUGUCAUCAGCAAAUAUUUUCACUUUGCAGUAAUGUACGACAUUGGAAAGGUCGUUUAUGUAGAUUAUGAAGAGUAGCGGACCCAAGACAAUCCCCUGGGGGACACCGCUGGUGACUUUUGCUGGGCUUGAGUGGACUCCAUCAACUACAACAUGUUGUGUUCUAUUCGCCAGGAAAUACUUGAUCCAGUGUAGAACUUUUCCACGUCUUCCAACAUUUGCCAAUUUUGAGAGUAGGAUAUUAUGGUCUACCCUGUCGAACGCUUUACUGAAGUCAAGAUAUAUGACAUCAGAGUUCGAACCUGUUCCCAAGGCUUUGAGUACAUCUUCAAUGUGUUGUAAGAGCUGUGUUAGACAGUCCCUGCCACAGCGAAAGCCAUGCUGAUUUGCAUUUAGGAGUUUGUGGGUCUCCAGGACGUGAGCCAUCCUUGAUCUUAACACUCUUUGAAACACUUUGAUGAUGUGGGAGGUGAGUGAGAUUGGGCGAUAGUUGAGUGCGAGGGAUCUGUUUCCCUGUUUGAAAACUGGGAUGACCGACUGGGAUAGAAACUGUUUUGGUAUAUAACCUGCAUCUAACCAAUUUCUCCAGAGGUUGGUCAGUGGGACUGCAAGUUGGUGUUUACAUUCCUUCAGGAGAAUAGCGGGGAAUCUAUCAGGGCCUACAGCAGAGUAGUAUUUGACCUCAUUUGUUGCUGCUACGAUGUAAGUGGGAGUGAAGGUUAUGUCUGCAAUUUUGUGUUGGGAGUCAACUUCGUUCGCUUCUCUUACGUCAAUAUCAGUGGGAACACUAAAGACAGCAGUAUUUUUUCUGCAAUAUAUAUAUAGAGAGAAACAUGUAUAUACAUAUAGAUAUGUAUAUGUGUGUAUGUUUCGGUGUCCCCAAAACCGCCUGACAACCAAUGCCGAUGUUUUUCACACUGUUAACUUAUCCGUUUGGGAAAAGCAGACCAACAGAAUUAAUACUAGACUGACGUAGAUAAAAGUCCUAGUGUCGAUUUGCUCUAGAAAAGCUGUGCUCCAGCAUUGGCACAGUGAAAUGACUAAACAAGGAAAACAGUAAAAGUGUAUGCGUUACUUCUGAACAUUAUAUUGUAGAGUUAAUUAGCUUCCAUAAUACGUUUUGACAAUUGUCGUUAUGUAGUUUAAUGUAAGGGAGGUAACUUUUGAAUAUUUUUCUUAGUUAUCUCCCUUUCUAGAGUUACUCCCCUUGCAUAUUAUUAAUUAUUAAAUUAUAUAAUAUGCAAGGUAAGUCACUUGCGAAGGACGAUAACUCCAAAAUCUUCCAGAGUUACUUCCCUUACAUCUAAUUAAAUUCCUAGCUACGAGUUUGCGUAUAUGCAUGUCUCUAUGUGCCUGGGUGCGGACGUGUGUUUCCAGAAUGUCGGAGUUUUAAGGUCAACAUAUUUAAAACAUAAAUAGGUACGAGAUUGCGUCUUUGCAUGUAUCUAUAUUCGUGAGUGCGGACGUGUGAGUGUUUGUGCGUGUGUGAGCACAGUCCACCUAUACCCAAGCUGGUUGCAUCGUCUCAUAAGAACCAGCCGUGAAAGUUCCGGAUCACAUUAAUGAACUCAUUUGCAUACAAACAAUUAGGGCUCACCUUGAACUUGUCCGGUUAACAAACAGUAGUGUCUGAAUGGGAAUUAGCUUGCUUAACUAACAAAUGUUUUCGAGUUCAGUCCCACUGGGUGGCAUGUUGGGCAAAUGUCUUCUACUAUAGUCUCGGGCCGACCCAAGCCUUGUGAGUGGAUUUGGGAGAUGGAAACUAAAAGAAGACUGUCGUGUGUAUAUAUAUAUAUAUGUAGCAGUAAGAGUGGCUAUGUAGCUUGCUUUCCAAAUACGGUGUUUCUGGUUCAGUCCAACUACGUGGCCCCAUGGGCAAAUGUCUUCCAAUAUAGCCUCAGACAGACCAACGUUUCUGAGUAGAUUUGGUACACGGAAACAGAAAGUAGCCCGUGGUAUAGAGAUAGGUAUAUAUAUAUAUAUAUAUAUAUAUAUAUAUAGAGAGAGAGAGAGACAGGUAUAUAUUGACAGAUAUAUGUAUAUACAUAUAAAUAUUUAAACAUAUAAGGGAUGGCCAUAAUGGGACAUCCGACUCACUAGAGAUGGCAGUUGAACUCCAAAAAAUCGUAAAAGUCUGUCAUGUCUGAAUAAUAUUUUCGAGAGUUAUUUCCCUCUGCACAUUAUAAUUUAAUAAAAGUAAUAUAAUUUUAUGUAAGGAAAGUAACUCUGGAAGAUGUUAUCUAGUUGUCUCCCUUCCGAGAGUUAAUUUCUCUUGCAUAUUAUUCUAUUAUUGUUACAAUAUAAUAUUCAAGAGAAGUAACUGUAGAAGAUACUUUGUAGUUAUCUCCGUUAAGUACGUAGUUCUCGUAACAUACACUUUCAGUUAUUUCACUGUGACGAUGGUGGAGCACCGCCUUUAGUCAAGCAAAUCAAACCCAGGAAUUAUUCUUUGUAUGCCUAUUUCUUAACGUAUAGGUCUCUUUUGCAGAUCCGAUAAGUUACUGGGGCGUAAUGUUCGAUGUACUGAAUUAGUAGGUAUUUAUUUAUUGUAAGAACUUCAAUUAUCAUAAAUUAUGGGCUAAGAAAGAUACUAGAAACUUUUUUGAUAUACCUAUUGGGGCUCCUUGUGUGUGUGGGACUGUUUUUAUUUAUGUGAGUGCGGGUAUUUUCAUUUCAGUGUGUGUGUGUGAGUGUUUUUAUUUCUGUGUGCACGAGUGUGUGAGCAACUGAGUGUUACUAUUUGUUUGUGUGUGCGAGUGUGUGAGCGACUGAGUGUUUCUAUUUGUUUGUGUGUGUGCGACACUUACAACUACAACAAACACUUUGACCAUUUCUAAGAUACCCACAUUUGAGAUCACUAACUACUAAAUCAAAAUAAGUUCAAUUUAUUACACCUUUAGUGACUUCAGAUAUUGCUCAUAUUUUUCCCAUAUGGCGACAAUGUAUUAAUUUCACAAGUGGAUAAAACAACUUCUCAUACUGGCGUGGAGGGGGCUGAGAUUAUAACUGCGAGUGCCAAGCACCCAAUGCCUCCCCCGUAUCUACAUACCUGGAUCGGCCGUAAUUGGUCUCAUUCUGAGAUCUCUCGGGAGUAGAAUAUUUAUGACUAUAGAAGUUAACUUGUUACAGGCUUCGUAGACUUUUGUCGCUAUUUACUCUUUUAUUCUCAUUUACUUGUUUCAGUCAUUUGAUUGUGGCCAUGCUGGAGCACCAACUUUAGUCGAACAUAUCGACCCCAGGACUUAUUCUUUGUAGGCCUAGUACUUAUUCUAUCGGUCUCUUUCGCUGAACCUCUUAGUUACGGGGACGUAAACAGACUAGCAUCAGUUGUGAAGCAAUGUUUGAGGACAAACACAGACACAAACCCACAAACAUACACACACACAUAUAUAUAAACAUAUAUACGACAGUCUUCUUUCAGUUUCCGUCUACCAACUCGACUCAGAAGUAUUUGCUUGGCCCGAGGCUAUAUUUGAAUACACUUGUCGAAGGUGCCACACUGUGGGACUGAACCCAGCACAUUGCGAUUCGUAAGCAAACUGUUUAUCACACGGCCACUCCUACGCCUAUCAAUAUAUAUAUAUAUUGAUAUAUAUAUACCUACAUACAUGUAUAUAGAAGCACAUAGUCGCGCACACACACACACACACACACACACACACACACACACACACACACAUGAAAACUCAGUUAUAUUUGCUUCUUGGCAAAAAUGCAUUUAAGUGGAAAGAACUUAAACAUAAAAAUUAAUAUCAAACCAACGAAAGUAACUCCCGCCAAUAUCUUACUUGAAAAGAGUUACCUCCCUUGAUUGAUGAAUAGCGUUUUCCUCGUGUCUUGGAGACUCUAAGGGAUGGUACGGGAGUUUUUUCCAUUUAAUUAAGAAACUUUGCAUCUGUAUGCGUGCGCGCAUGCUCGAGUGUUUGUCCGCGUGUUUGUGUGAAUAUGUAGCUGUGUAUUUUCAUUUCUGUGUGGGUAUUUGUGCGUAUGUGUGUGUGUGUGUGUGAGAAUUUUUAUUCAGUGUUUGUGUGCGUGGGACGGUUUUUAUUUGUGUGAGUGUGAAAGUGUGUGUUGGUAUUUUCAUUUCAGUGUUUGUGUUUGUGUGAAUGUUUUUAUUUGUGUGUGUAAGUGUGUGUGAGCGACUGUGUUUUUAUUCGUUUGUGUGUGUGCGACAAUUACAGCUACAACAAACACUUUAAGCAUCUCUAAGAUACCCACAUUUGCAGAUCCCUAAGUUCUAAAUGAAAAGAAGUUCAAUUUAUUGCGACUUCAGAUUUGCGUUUGUUAAGCACCCAAUGCCCCCCGUAUGUACAUACAUGGAUCGGCCAUAAUUGGCCUCAUUCGGAGAUCUCUCGGGUGUGGAAUAUUUAUGACUAUAGAAGUUAACUUGUUACAGGUUUUGUUUAUGGCUUAACUUUUGUAGAUUUUGGGAAGUCCAUAGAUGUUACUGGCUUUGCAGUGAAAUCUAGUCAAGCAAUUUGUCUGGUUUUUUGUUAAAUCGUGUUGGAACUGGUGGAUAAGAGUAGACAGUUUGGUCAUUAUCUUCGAUUGACUGUAGUUGUUGAUGUUUUUAACCGAUGCUGGUGUGUUUUACUCCCUGUAUUUUAGCGGUUUGGCAAAAGAGAAUAAGUUAGAAUAAAUACUAGGCUUACAAAGAAUAAGUGCUGCGGACGAUGUGCUCGACUAAAGGCGGCGCUCUAGUAUUUAUAUAUAUAUAUAUAUAUAUAUAUAUAUAUACACACACAUACAGAUAUACAUGUAUAUACCCACACAUGCAUAUAUACUAUCUAAAACAAAAAAGAAACUUGAUUAUGUCCGAAGAGUAGUACUAGAUAACAUUAUUACUUUAUAUAUUUGUGGGGUGUAGUGAAAUGUAAAUGAUCAGCUAGUCAAUGUUUAUUUGUUAAAGGUACCAGCAGAUUACUUGGAUGUGUAUGUGUCUCUGUUGGUGUGCGCAUGGUCGUGUCUUCUUUCGCAGGCGUCAAACAAACACACCUAUUACAGAAAUUACAACAUGAAAGGUAUUAUAUGAUGUCUAGGAGAUAUUUUCAGCUAUCUCCCUAGUGAACAGGUUAUAGACUUUUGUCGCUAUUUACUCUUUUACUCUCAUUUACUUUUUUCAGUCAUUUAACUGUGGCCAUGCUGGAACAACACCUUCAGUCGAGCAUAUCGACCCCAGGACUUAUUCUUUGUAGGCCUAGUACUUAUUCUAACAGUCUCUUUCGCUGAACCUCUAAGUUACGGGGACGUAGACACAUAUAUAUAUAUAUAUAUAUAUACACACACACACACACACACACACACACACACACACACACACACACACACACACAUACACACAUGUAUAUAAAAGCACGUAGUCGCACACACAGAAAUGGAAAUACACACAUCUAACCCUAACUCAUAGUUUCAUCUCCCUUUGGCAUUUAAACUUAAAUAUAAAAAUGAAUCUCAAACCAAGGAAAGUAACUCCCUCUACAUCCCUUACUUGACAAGAGUUACAUCCGUUAAUUGAUACUAAUACAAUUUAACAUUAGGAAACGUAAAUAGUGUUUGAAUAAUAAUAGGCUCUAAGCGAUGUAUGGAGAGUUGCCUUCCUUACAAGUAUAUAAUACUAAAAGUAGUUAAAGGAAGGAAUUUUACUCAUAGCUCUCGGAAACUGUAUGGGAUAGAACGGGAGUUGUUUCCCUUUCAUUGAGAAAACUUGCAUCUGUAUGUCUGAUGGUUCAUGCGUGCAUGCUCGUGUGCCAUUCGAGUGCGAACACACACACACACAUAUAUAUAUAUAUAUAUAUAUAUAUAUAUAAACAUAUACGACGGGAUUCUUUCAGUUUCCUUCCACCAAAUCCAAUCACAAGGAUUUGGUCGGCCCGGGGCUACUGUAGAAGACAAUUGGACAAGAUGCGAGGCAGUGGGAAUGAAACUGAAACCAUGUGGUUCGUAAGCAAACUACUUACCACAUAGCCAUUUGUGCGCUGAUAUUCAUAUAUACGACGGUCUUCUUUCAGUUUCUCUCUACCAACCCUACUCAGAAUACAUUGGUCGGCCCGGGGGUAUAGUUGAAUACACUUGCCGAAGGUGCCACGCUGUUGGAUUGAACCCAGCACAUUGAGGUUGGUGAGCAAACACUCUCACACAUGCGCGAGCGCAAACAGACACAGAGAUGAAAGCACACAUAUUGGCUGACCCACACGCUCAUACAAUUUCUUGAGAGUGUCACGGUUUUAAGGUCAACAUAUUUAAAACAUGAAAUAGCUUUGCAUGUAUCUAUGUGCAUGAGUGCGGAAGUGUGGGUAUUUGUGCGUGUGUGAGCACAGUCCACACAUACCCAAGGUGGUCGCAUCGGCUAAUGUGACCCAACCGUGAAAGUCUGUUUCACCCAGACAUACACAUACAGAUAUACGUGUAUAUACCCACGCACGUAUAUGUAGUGUUUAAAACAAAAAAGAAACUGUAAGGGAUGGAACGGGAGUUCUUUCCGUUUUAUUAAGAAAACUUGCAUCUGUAUAUGUGAUAGUACGUGCGUGCAUUCUCGUGUGCCCUUCGAGUGCGAACAAACACACCACACACACACACACACACACACACACACACACACACACACACACACACACACACACACACAUUUAAACAUAUAUACGAUGGGAUUCUUUCAGUUUCCCUCCACUAAAUCCAAUCACAAUGAUUAGGUCGGCCCUGGGGUACAUUAGUUGACAAUUGCAUAAGAUGACAGGCAGUGGGAGUGAACACCAAACCAUGUGGUUCGCAAGCAAACUACUUACAACAUAGCCAUUCCUACGCCGAUAUUCAUAUAUACGACGGGCUUCUUUCAGUUUCCCUCUACUAACUCCACUCAGAAUACUUUGGUCGGCCCUAGGCUAUAGUUGAAUACACUUACCAAAGGUGCAACGCUGUUGGUUUGAACUCAGCGCAUUACGGUUCGUGAGCAACCAUUCUCACAGAAAUGCACGCGCAAACAGACACAUAAUGUCAUGGUUUAAAGGUCAACAUGUUUAAAACAUAAAUAGCUACGAGUUUGCGUAUAUGCAUGUAUCUAUGUGCAUGAGUGCGGUCGUGUGUUUUCAGAAUGUCACAGUUUUAAGGUCAACAUAUUUAAAACAUAAAUAGGUACGAGAUUGCGUCUUUGCGUGUAUCUAUAUUCGUGAGUGCGGAUGUGUGGGUGUUUGUGCGUGUGUGAGCACAGUCCACCUAUACCCAAGGUGGAUGCAUUGUCUUAUGGGACCCAGCCGCGAAAGUUCCGGACCCCAUUAAUGAACUCAUUUGCAUACAAACAAUUAGGGCUCACCUUGAACUUGUCCGGUUAACAAACAGUAGUGUCUGAAUGGGAAUUAGCUUGCUUACCUAACAAAUGUUUCUGAGUUCAGUCCCACUGGGUGGCACGUUGGGCAAAUGUCUUCUACUAUAGUCCCGGGCCGACCAAAGCCUUGUGAGUGGAUUUGGGAGACGGAAACUAAAAGAAGACUGUUGUAUAUAUAUAUAUAUAUAUAUAUAUAUAUAUAUAUAUAUAUAUAUAUAUAUAUUAUAUUUAUAUAUUUUAUAUUUAUAUUUCAUUGUCUAAUUAUUGUCACUAUAUAUUUUGUAUAAUGCCUUUACUGUUAUGUAAUGGUGUAAUAAAGUAUUGAUUGGGUAUCAUCUGAUGGUUGAUGUUUGAUUGAUUUAAGUAUGUUUCUCCAUUUUCUAAUUUUGUAGUAUAUAUAUAUAUAUAUAUAUGUAGCAGUAAGAGUGGCUGUGGUAUGUAGCUUGCUUUCCAAACACGGUGUUUCUGGUUCAGUCCAACUACGUGGCUCCAUGGGCAAGUGUCUUCCAAUAUAGCCUCGGACAGACCAACGUUUCUGAGUAGAUUUGGUACACGGAAACAGAAAGUAGCCCGUCGUAUAUAGACAGGUGUAUAUAUAUAUAUAUAUAUAUAUAUGAUAGAGCGAAAGAGAGAGAGAGAGAGAGAGAGAGACAUAGGUAUAUAUUGACAGAUAUAUGUAUAUACAUAUAGAUAUUUAAACAUAUAAGGGAUGGCCAUAAUGGGACAUCUGACUCACUAGAGAGAGCAGUUAAACUCCAAACCAGUGAUAAUUGUAAUUCUGAAAUGGAAAGAGAAAUAAAAACGUUUACCCUAUCCAUUCUGGACUAUGCAUAGUUUCGGCAAUCUUUCGUAAAUAAAACAAAUUUAGUUACGACUGGCGUUGCCUCUUGAGCAGAAAGCGAAGGACUAGCAUAUAGGCUCGAGGCGAUAAUAACCAUGUCUCGAGUCUAUAUGCUAUAACUUUUCCAAAUCUACCACUCUCGCGCGGUUUUCUCAACAGUAAAUAUAAACUAGAUAUAUAUUUAUAUAUAUGUUUCUGUGUCCCCAAAACCGCUUGACAACCGAUGCUGGUAUUUUUACACUCCAGUAACUUCGGGAAAAGACGACCAACAAAUAAAUUCUAGACUGUCAUAGAGUAAGUCCUAGUGUCGAUUUGCUCUAGAAAAUGCUGUGCUCCAGCAUGGACACAGUGAAAUGACUAAACAAGGAAAAGCGUAACAGUGUGUGUCAUGUCUGAAUAAUAUAUUCUAGAGUUAUUUCCCUGCAUGUUAGACUCUUUUAGUUAUUUCAUUGUGACCAUGGUGGAGCACCGCCUUUAGUGAAGCAAAUCAACCCCAGGAAUUAUUCUUUGUAUGCCUAUUACUUAAUGUAUAGGUCUCUUUUGCAGAACCGAAAAGUUACGGGGACUUAAUUUUCGAUGUACUGAUUUAGUAGGCAUUUAUUUAUUGUAAGAACUUCAAUUAUCAUAAAUUAUGGGCUAGGAAAGAUACUAGAAACUUUUUUGAUAUACCUAUUGGGGCUCCUUGUGUGUGUGGGACAGUUUUUAUUUAUGUGAGUAUGGGUAUUUUCAUUUCAGUGGUUGUUUGUGUGUGUGUGAGAGUGUUUUUAUUUCUGUGUGCGCGAGUGUGUGAGCGACUGAGUGUUUCUAUUUGUUUGUGUGUGUGCGACACUUACAACUACAACAAACACUUUGACCAUUGCUAAGAUACCCACAUUUGAGAUCACUAACUACUAAAUCAAAAUAAGUUCAAUUUAUUGCACCUUUAGUGACUUCAGAUGUUGCUCAUAUUUUUCCCAUAUGUCGACAAUGUAUUAAUUUCACAAGUGGAUGAAAGAAAUUCUCAUACUGGCGUGGAGGGAGCUGAUAUUCUAACUGCGAGUGCAAAGCACCCAAUGCCCCUUUACAUUCUGAAUAACUUGUAUGUUUGUGCUGGUUAGGGUUUAUGUGUGAGUGUGUAACUGUGUUUUCAUUUCUGUGUGUGGGUGCGUAUGUUUGUUUGUGACUAUAUUCAUUUCUGUGUGUGUUUGUGCGUGUGUGAGUGUGAGAGUUUGGAUGUGUAACUGUGUAUUUUUCAUUUCUAUAUGUGUAUGUCUGUGUGUUUGUGCAUGUGUCUGUGUGAGUGUUUUCUUUUCUGUGUCUUCGAGUGUGUGCGUAUGUAACUGUUUUCUUUUCUCUAUUUGUCCGCGUGUUUGAGUGUGUGAAUAUGUAGCUGUGUAUUUUCACUUCUCUGUGUGUGUUUGUGCGUAUGUGAGUGUGUGAGUAUUUUUUUCAGUGUUUGUGUGCGUGGGACUGUUUUUAUUUGUGUGUGUUUUGGUAUUUUCAUUUCAGUCUUUGUGUCUGUGUGAAUGUUUUUAUUUGUGUGUGUACGUGUGUGUGAGCGUCUGUGUGUUUUUAUUCGUUUGUGUGUGUGCAACAAUUACAGCUACAACAAACACUUUAACCAUUUCUAAGAUACCCACAUUUGCAGAUCACUAACUGCUAAAUGAAAAGAAGUUCAAUUUAUUGCACCUUUAGCGACUUCAGAUUUGCAAGUGUUAAGCACCCAAUUGCCCCCCCCCCGUACCUACAUACCUGGAUCGGUCAUAAUUGGUCAUUCGGAGAUCUCUAGGGUGUGGAAUAUUUAUGACUAUAGAAGUUAACUUGUUACUGAUUUCGUUUAUGGCCUAACUUUUGUAGAUUUUGAGAAGUCCAUAUUAACUAUAUGGGUGAAGUGUGUCAGACUGCCAGAAGGGAAGCUAGGAGGCAGGUUUAUUUAGCCAGAGGAGAAGCAGAUAAGAAAACAUUUGCCAAUGUUCUGCGCCGUGAGGACAAAAGACUUGAGGUAUUUCGUGUUGCAAGACAGUGUGUGAGAGAGAAUCGUGACGUGGUAGGAGAGAAAUGUGUUCGCAUGGAUAAUGGUUCACUUGCGCUAAGUGUGGCUGCAAAGAGAGAGGUUUGGAGACGCCACUAUGAAAAAGUUGCUGAAUAAAGAAAAUGAAUGGGAGAAAGGGAGUCUGCCGAAUGUCGACCCAACUGAGGGACCAGCUAUCCGAGUUGACAGUUCUUUGGUAGAUAAGGUAAUUAGAAGUAUGAAGACAGGAAAAGCCCCAGGCCCAUCAGGAAUUACUGCAGAGAUGCUCAAAAUAUCUGGCAGUGUUGGUUAUAGCCUGGUCACCUGUAUAGUUAACCAGUUGAUACACGAAGGAGUCAUACCCAAUGACUGGUGUAGCAGCAUAAUAGUCAACUACUACAAAAGUAAAGGUGACGCUUUAGAUACAAAUAAUUAAACAGGUAUCAAGUUGUUGGAUCAGGUAAUGAAGGUUACGGAGAGGGUCAUAUGUUUGUAUAUAUAUUUGUAUGUAUAUGUUUGUAUAUAUAUUUGUGUAUAUAUGUUUGUAUAUAUAUUUGUAUAUAUGUCUGUAUAUAUGUGUUUGUAUAUAUGUUUGUGUAUAUAUGUUUGUAUAUAUAUAUGUUUGUAUAUAUAUAUAUAUUUGUAUAUAUAUGUCUGUAUAUAUGUUUGUAUAUAUAUUUGUAUAUAUGUUUGUAUGUGUUUGUAUAUAGAUUUGUAUAUAUAUGUUUGUAUAUUUGUAUAUAAACUUAGAUAAACUUAGAUAUGUUUCGACCAAAGAUUGGUCCAGGCCAUGUCUAACUUAAUAGCACCACCUGAUAGGAUUAUUUGAAUCCUGUUUAAGUCAAGCUUUGUUUAUGGUCCAUUCAAGUAGUGAGUUUUUGUUGGGUGAGUUGUAUCCAAUUAUGGGUGGCUUAUCUGGUAUUCCUUGAAGGAAUCUAUCCAGACUCCGUUUAAAGUUGAUGGGAUCCUGUUGCUCUUUGAUCUCUUUCGGGACAAUGUUAAAUAGGGCAGGGCCUGUUGAGGAAAAGAAAUUAUGUUGUAGUGUACAUGUAUGCUGUGAUCUUGAAUGGCCCGUGGUCCCAGUCUUGGAUGAACCUUGAAGCUAAUGUUCAGGUCGUUUGGGCAUAGUUGGCGGUAUAUUUUCCACAUCGUACAAAUGAUGUACCGCUCACAGCGACGCUGGAGGGAGUAAAGUUUCAAGGCUUUAAGGCGAUCCCAAUAAUCGAGAGCAGCCAUGCCUUCAAUUCGUUUAGUGAGUGCCCUCUGGGGUGACUCAAUCCUGGAGAUGUUUUGUCUUGUGUGAGGAGACCACAGUGGGCAGCAGUAUUCAAGGUGUGGCCGUACAAAGGAGGAAAAAAGUGGUAUGAUGACACCUUGUUCUCUGGACCGGAAAGUUCUUAAGAUCCAGGAACUCAUCCUACGAGCUAUAUCGACCUUCUUGUUGAUGUGUGCACUCCAACUGAGAUCGUCAUCAACAAUUACACCCAGGUCUCUGAUAUUGUUAGAGGCUGUGAGCGGUUCCCCUGAAGGAAGAGAGUAUGGUUGGUUUAGUGAGGAGUUUCUUCCAAAAUGCAUCAGCUCAAAUUUUCCCUCGUUCAGUUGCAUUUUGUUUCUGUUUGCCCAUUGACUCACAGCAUAUAGAUCAGACUGGAGUUGAGUUCGGUCUGCUUCUUCAUUGACGAUUUGCUGGAGCUUGGUGUCAUCAGCAAAUAUUUUCACUUUGCAGUAAUGUACGACACUGGAAAGGUCGUUUAUGUAGAUUAUGAAGAGUAGCGGACCCAAGACAGUCCCCUGGGGGACACCGCUGGUGACUUUUGCUGGGCUUGAGUGGACUCCAUCAACUACAACAUGUGUUUUAUUCGCCAGGAAAUACUUGAUCUAGUGUAGAACUUUUCCACGGAUUCCAACAUUUGCCAAUUUUGAGAGUAGGAUAUUAUGGUCUACCCUGUCGAACGCUUCACUGAAGUCAAGAUAUAUGACAUCAGAGUUCGAACCUGUUCCCAAGGCUUUGAGUACAUCUUCAAUGUGGUGUAAGAGCCGUGUUAGACAGUCCCUGCCACAGCGAAAGCCAUGCUGAUUUGCAUUUAGGAGUUUGUGGGUCUCCAGGAAGUCAGCUAUCCUUGAUCUUAACACAAUUUCAAACACUUUGAUGAUGUGGGAGGUGAGUGAGAUUGGGCGAUAGUUGAGUGCGAGGGAUCUGUUUCCCUGUUUGAAAACCGGGAUGACUGACUUGGAUAGAAACUGUUUCGGUAUAUAACCUGCGUCUAACGAAUUUCUCCAGAGGUUGGUCAGAGGGACUGCAAGUUGGUAUUUACAUUCCUUCAGGAGACUAGCGGGGAAUCUAUCAGGGCCUACAGCAGAGUAGUAUUUGAUCUUAUUUAUUGCUGCUGUGAUGUCAGUGGCAAUAAAAGGUUAUGUCUGAGAUUUUAUGUUGAGGGUCAACUUUGUUCGCUUCUCUUGCGUCAAUAUCAGACAGAGCAGUAUUGUUCUGUAUAGGUGACAAUGUUUUCAAAGUGCUGCCAUGCGGUCUCAGUAUGGGUGGAAUUGUGAGUGAAAGAUAAGUCUAUGCAAGACAGAUCCUUUCUUGUUGCUCCCCAGUCCGCUUUGUGAAAGUUUAUGUUGUCAAAUGAGUGCCAUGGAGUGGGAUUGGCUGGUUUGGUUUUUAUAUGUCGGGAAUUGAAAUUGCAGAGUACCAUGUCGUGGUAUGAGAGGAGAGUUUUUUCAACUGAAAUACUGUGAACGAAGCUAGAGUGAUUCGUCAAUACCAGAUCCAAGAUCGUUUUAUUCUGUCUCGUUGGUUCGAGCACUAGCUGAGUCAGGAAGUAUUCAUCCAUUAGAUUAAAGAGCAGUUCUGCUGCUGCUCUAUCUGAUGUAGAGCAUUUGCCUAACUUCAGAGUAUUUGUGGGCCAGUUCACAUAAGGGAGGUUAAAAUCACCCAUCCACUAGUAUGUUUCCGGAGUUGUACUUCCGAAGGAAGGACUUGACUUUACUAAGGCACUCUUCAAAGCACUUUAGAGGUGCUUGGGGAGGCCUGUAAAGACCAACAAUGAUUAUGUCCUUGGCCUUGCUGAAUAGUGAUACAGAUUCACAAUAGCCAUUGGAAAAUAUAUUCUUGGCAUCAAGUGAAAAGGAGUCAUAGAUGGAUAAAGAUGGCUGUCCCUCCCUUAUUUCGGUCUGUGCGAUCCACACGAACAAUGGUGAAAUCUUUUAUUUUCACCUCGGCGUCCAUAUGGGUGUUGUUCAGGUGAGUCUCAGUAAGGAUAAAGAAAGGGAAGCAAUGUGCCGUUUCGGCAAGCCAACUCUCUAUCUAUGGGAUCUUCCAUUUUUGGGCAAUAAUUGAUGGGUUGAUGCCACGUACAUUUAACAGGAAUGUCGAGGUAAGGGGAGUUUGAUGUUUGCCUUGUUCUAAGUUGUGUUUUAUGUUGUUCAGUGGUAACAAUGUGGGUAGUUCUUGUAUGGAGCUGUGUGUGUAUGAUUUUCUUGUUGGUAGUGGGUGUGUGGUCCUUGUGAUUUGCAUAGGUGGUUGCUGAUAGCUCGUUGGAUAUCCUGGCUUAGGUCGGCCUUCAUAUUUUCUAGGUAAGACAGUAAAAAAGAGUUACCUCUUUGGUUUGCCACUUGGUCAGAGGAUACAUAUUUCAUGUUGGUGUUAUUUGGUGUUUAGUAGUCUGGUAUGUGUAUACAGGUGUGUAUCUCAUUAUCGCUAUUAUCAGAUAUAUGCAUACAACCUACCACACACACACACAGCAUUCUUACUUUGGACUCUUUAUUAAUUCAAAAGUGUUAACAGAUCAAGUUACCAAUUCCAGAAUAUUCUGUCUUCGAGGUCAUCAUAUUUUUUUUGUAUUUUGUUGUCCCUAUGUAUGUAUGUAUGUAUGUAUGUAUGUAUAUAUAUAUAUAUAUAUAUAUAUAUAUAUAUAUAUAUAUAUAUAUAUAUAUAUAUGAAGAAUUCCGAGUAGAAGUAGGUGUACACCAAGGCUCAGCCCUCAGUCCCCUUUUAUUCAUCAUAGUCCUCCAGGCAAUAACAGAGGAAUUCAAAACAGGUUGCCCCUGGGAGCUCCUCUAUGCUGAUGACCUGCCUCUCAUAGCAGAAUCACUACCGGAACUAGAAAAGAAAUUUCGGGUGUGGAAACAAGGGUUAGAAUCAAAAGGCCUUAGAGUAAAUGUAGCAAAGACCAAAGUUAUAGUAAACAGAAAGGCGAACUCAGCACACACCCCAUCGGGCAGGUGGCCCUGCUCGAUCUGUAGGAAAGGUGUAGGUAGAAACUCCAUAAGAUGCACCCAGUGUAAGCUAUGGACGCAUAAGAGGUGCAGCAACAUCAAAGGGAAAUUAACUGAUAAGAUAGCUUUCAUGUGCGGCAGAUACACAGGGACAAUAGACACCACAAAUACUCAGAAAACAGAUUCCAUCACACUCCAGGGGAAGAAACUAGAAGUUGUUGAUAGUUUCCGCUACCUGGGUGACCAAGUUAGUUAGUGGAGGUGGAUGCUCAGAGAGUGUCACCACUAGAAUACGAAUAGCCUGAACAAAGUUUAGAAAGCUCCUACCCCUACAGGCGACAAAGGGUCUCUCACUCAGAGUGAAAGGUAGAUUGUAUGAUGCAUGUGUGUGUGAACUGCCAUGCUUCACGGUAGUGAAACAUGGGCCGUGACUGCAGAGGACAUGCGUAGACUUGAAAGAAAUGAAGCUAGCAUGAUCCGCUGGAUGUGUUAUGUCAGUGUGAACGCACGACAGAGUGUAAGCACCCUGAGAGAAAUGCUGGACAUAAGAAGCAUCAGAUGUGGUGUGCAAGAGCGUCGCUUGCGAUGGUAUGGUCAUGUACUGUGGAUGGAUGAGGAGAGAUGUGUGAAGAAGUGCCGCUCCCAAACAGUUGAAGGAAUCAGGGGGAUAGGUAGACCCAGGAAGACAUGGGAUGAGGUUGUCAAGCAUGAUCUCAGAGCGUUGGGCCUCACUGAGGCAAUGGCGAAGGACCGAGAUCUCUGGAGAUGUGCUGUGACUGCAAAGACCCGGGAUGCUUCCGGCACCAGUUCCGCAUAGCCCCUGCCCAUUCAAAGUACCUUGGAUCCCAGAACAUCUCGCUGUGCUUGAGGAGACCUGUUGAGUCAAGUGCAUGUACAUGAACAUCGAAACAAAUAUCAAUGGAAAUAGUAGUUGUGAUACCUGUGCCAGUGGCACAUAAAAAGCAUCAUCCGAACGUGGCCGAUGCCAGCGCCGCCUCGACUGGCUUCUGUGCCGGUGGCACAUAAAAAGCACCAUCCGAACGUGGCCGAUGCCAGCGCCGCCUCGGCUGGCUUCCGUGCCGGUAGCACGUUAAAAGCACUAACCAAUCGUAGCCGAUGCCAGACCCCCUCCUGGCACCUGUGCAGGUGGCACGUAAAAAGCACUCACUACACUCACUGAAUAGUUGGCGUUAGGAAGGGCAUCCAGCUGUAGAAACACUGCCAGAUCAGACUGGAGCCUGGUGCAGCCCCUAGCUUCCCAGACCCCGGUCGAACCGUCCAACCCGUGCUAGCGCGGAAAACGGACGUUAAACGAUGAUGAUGAUGAUAUCUAUCUAUCUAUCUAUCUAUCUAUAUCUAUAUCUAUAUAUAUAUAUAUAUAUAUAUAUAUAUAUAUAUAUAUAUAUAUAUAUAUAUAUAUAUAUAUAUAUGUAUGUAUAUAUUAUAUAUAUGUAUGUAUAUAUCUAUAUAUAUGUAUGUAUAUAUCUAUAUAUAUGUAUGUAUAUAUCUAUAUAUAUAUAUAUCUAUACAUAUAUAUGUAUCUAUCUAUCUAUCUAUCUAUCUAUCUAUAUAUAUAUAUAUAUAUAUAUAUAUAUUUAUAUAGGCGUAGGACUGGCUGUGAGGUCAGUAGCUCGCUUACCACCCAUAGAGUUCCGGGUUCAGUCCGACUGCGUGGCAUUUUGGGCAUACAUAUAUAUAAUGUAUGUAUGUGUGUCUAUACUUAUAUCUUCAGCUUUAUGUGUGUGUUUGCCUGUGUGUGUGUGUGUGCAUGUCUGUGUGUGUGUACAUUGUGAACAUAGAGAUGACUGAAUUUUCAUGUUCUGAUUAUCGCCUUGUUGAACAUGCGAAAGGGCCUUUAUCCGAUCAUAUUUGUCGUUAGGAAAUAUUUUUGCAGACACACACACACACACACACACACACACACACACACACACACACACACACUCACUCACUCACUCACUCACAGAGUUAAAUGCAUUUUUAAAACCUUUAUCAAAAUUCGAGUGCACCUAAAAAGAUCAGUUCCCGCACUUGUGUAGACCAUACAUGCCAGUCACAUAUGUCAUACACACGGCAGCUUAAAAGAGAGAUGAUGAAAAAUGCUAUAUAGGUUUGAUAUUAUUUAACCCUAGGUAAGUACUGAUCGACCUCGCCGAUGAUCACAACCAACCUUAUCUUCCCGUACUUUUUGUUUUUCGAUUUCACUGCAUUUAAAACUACCUUAUACCACGUGACUCUUCUAAACACUAUGCUACGAUUUGAGGAAGAUGUGGCUGCAAUCUGUGUGUAGGCGCAGGCGGCUCUGUGGUAUAAUAUUUGCUUCCCGACGAAAUGGUUCCGGUUUCUGUUCCACUGCACUGUACCUUGUGCAACUGUCUUUACUAUAGCCUGGUGGAUUUGGUAUAUGGAAACUAAAAGAAGCCUGUCGCAUAUAUAUAUAUAUUAUUAUUGUUAUUUCGUGUUAUUUUUGUAUUCAUAUUCGUAUAACAUCGUCCGUUUUCUGUCCUUGUUUCGUAUACAUUCGAAGCUUUUUUCCAAGGAAUCUAAUGCGCUUAACUUAGUUUUUCCUUGGGGCUGGUCAGAUUGUAGCAAUCUCAAGAUUAAUCAGCCGAAAUUGCGAGGAUGAUCCGGUUCUUCACUGAAGAUUGAAGGCUUCGAAUGACUCGUCCGUGUUUUUUGUAUCGUCUUCUGAAUGUUUUGUUAUUUUUUCAGCGAUUUUACUGUAAACAUUAGCUUUUACACAAUCUUUUUGGUGAGUGUACCAAGCGUUUAUCAGUGAACUGAUUACAUUUUCAACCCAGUAGUGUUUUGGAAUAUUAUUGGCCAUAUUUAGUGGAUAUAUGCGUGUGUGGGUAAAUACACGUAUAUAUGUAUGUAAAUAUAUAUAAAUAUAUAUAUGUAUAUAUCUAUGUAUGUAUAUGUAUGUGUGUAUAUAUAUAUAUAUAUAUAUAUAUAUAUAUAUAUAUAUAUAUAUACAUGUAUAUAUUGAUAUGUGUAUGUUUGCAUAUAUAUAUAUACUUGUAUAUAUAUGUAUAUAGAUGAAGUAAUGACAUCAAUAAGUAAAUUGAAUCUUGGUAGGGCACCUGGAAAGGAUGGAAUUUGUGCUGAGGUCUUGCGAUUUGGUGGUAAUUGCAUCACACAGUCCCUUCAUGAACUUAUUAGUGCAGUCUGGAGGGAUGGUGCAAUCCCUAAAGACUGGAAGGAUGCAAUUAUUCUUCCUCUAUAUAAAGGAAAAGGAGCCAGAACAAUGUGUGGUAACUACAGAGGUAUUGCUCUACUAUCAGCUGCUGGUAAGGUUCUGGCAAAUAUUCUUCUUGCCCGUCUGCAUGGGUGUCUCGUAAAUGAUGUCCUAUCUGAAUCUCAAUGUGGCUUCCGAUCUGGUAGAGGGACAAUGGAUAUGAUUUUCACAGCAAGACAGAUGCAGGAGAAGUGCUAUGAGCAGAAUAUGGAUCUUGUCCAGGUAUUCAUUGAUUUAACUAAGACCUUAGAUACUGUAAAUAGGGCCUUUCUAUGGAAAAUACUUGGCAAACUUCGAUGUCCAGAUCACUUUGUAUCUAUAAUUAAAUCAUUUCAUGAUGAGAUGGAGGCUUAGGUCAAUGUUGGUGGUACCAUGGUGGGACCCAUUCCUGUAGAGAAUGGUGUCAAGCAGGGUGACAUCCUUGCCCCAACUCUCUUUUCUUUGUACUUUGCUGCUACUUUUACUCAUGCUUUUGCUAAAGUUAGCUCUCUGGGAAUAUAUGUCAGAUGUCUAUCUUCUGGCCGCCUCUUUAAUUUUCGCCAAUUUGCUGCCAAUUCAAAUGUUUUCCAGACUAUUAUUCGUGACCUCCUUUAUGCAGAUGACUGUGACUUAGUCACUCAUACAGUAGAUGACAUGCAAAUAAUCAUGAAUUGCAUUUCUGCUUCUUGCAGAGCAUUUGGACUCAGCAUUAGCCUGGACAAGACUGUUGUAAUGUUCCAGCCUGCACCAGGAAAUCCAUAUAUAGAACCAGCUAUCUUCGUUGAAGGAACAAUUCUGAAGGUAGUAGACAAGUAGUCUAUCUGGGCAGCACAUUCAGCCGUUCUUGCUCCCUGGAUGAGGAACUAUCUUUCAGGUUGCAGAGAGCAACUAAUUCCUUCCAGUCUCUUCAGUCUCGUGUCUGGUACCAACAUGGCAUCGCAAGGAGAACAAAAGUUGCUGUGUACCGUACUUAUGUACUGACAUCGCUUCUCUACUCAUGUGAGAUAUGGACUCUGUACAAACGUCAGGUAAGGGUCCUUGAACGUUUCCAUCAGAGAUGUCUCAGACACAUUCUCAAUGUUAGCUGGACCUCAAAAGCUUCAGACACACAGAUCCUGAGGACAGCUGAUAUCUUGAGUAUUGAAGCGGUGGUGCACAAGCACCGGUUGCGUUGGACUGGACACCUUAUUCGAAUGAAGGAUAGAAGGAUUCCUAAGCAGAUGCUCUAUGGAGAACUUGUGAAUGGAAGGAGACUCCGGCAGAAACCAAGACUGCGAUUUAAGGACUGUGUCAAGUCCUCAUUAAAGGCCUGUGAUAUGCAGGACACUGACUGGGAGAGCAAUACCUGUCAUCGCCACAGAUGGAGGAAGCAGGUUAAGGAGGGGAUCGACACUUUUGAGAGAGCACGUAUCCAGCAUGAAGAACUUAAGCGAGCUGCGCGAAAGCGCACGGCUCGUAUAGUGAAUGGGGAAAGUUUGGUCUGCAAAGUUUGCAGUCGUGUAUGCUUGUCAAGAGCAGGGCUCAUUAGCUACCAACGGAGCCGCAAAUGCAAAAUAUAAGUUAGUCCUCGUAGAGCGCACAAUGUUCCUGAAGGUCGGCAAUGGUUUUCUUCGGUCACGAGUGGACGGUCAUUAUUAUUAUGUAUUCGUAUAUAUAUAUAUAUAUAUAUAUAUAUAUAUAUAUAUGCCCGCGCACCGUCUUUAGUCAAUCAAAACGUACCCUAGGACUUAUUCUUUGGAAUGCUAGUACUCAUUCUAACCGUUACGUUACGGCAGCGUAUGUGUGGACUGUGCUCAAACACGCACUAACACACAUACGUCCGAACACACACACACACAUAGAUACAUGCAAAGAUGCACACUUGUAGGUAUUUAUGCUUUAAAUAUGUUGACUUUAAAACUUUGACAUUCUGAAGAAAUUAAAUGAGUGUGUUUGUAAGCCAAUAUGUGUGUGUGUGCUUUAAUUUCUGUGUCUGUGUUUGUGCGCACCUGUGUGACAGAGUGUUUCCGGUUCAAUGUUUGUGCCUGAGUGUGUGUGUGUGAAUGAGUGAGUGUGUACAUGUGUUUUCAUUGCUAGGUGUGUGAGUUUGUAACUGUGUUUUCAUUUCUGUGUGUGAGUAUGUGUGAUUAUUUUCAUUUCCGUGCGUGUGUGAGUGAAUGUAUUUAUUUCUAUGUGUUCGAGUUUGUUCGUUUGUGAGUGUGUAACUGUGUGUUUUCAUUUCUGUGUUUGUGCGUGUGUGUGAGUGAGUGUUUUCAUUUCUGUGUUGGAAAUAGGUCAGAUAGCAAUAUCAAUCAGGAUACGUUGAAGUGACCCCUGACCUGUUGGGAGUUGGGUAAUUUGGUGCACUACAUUCAUUGACAUGUGUUGAUAUGUGCGUGUGGAAAACUGGAAAUGAUCUUACGAUCUCUUGUAUUUUAUCUUUGAUCUGUUUUACAGAUCCAGGUACUGUGUGCGCAUACGUUUGUGUGUGAGUGAAUGUAUUUAUUUCUAUGUGUUCGAGUGUGUGCGUUUGUGUUCCUCCUACUACUACUACAGUCUACCUAUCUCUCUCUCUCUACCACCACCACUAUCAUUCGUACACUGUAACCGCUCACCACCACUCCCACCAUCAUUAUACAGUCGCUAUCACCACCCCAUCAGUAGAGUAACUUCUCCCCACCACUAUCACCAUCAUCGGUACACCGGUAUCUCCCGCCACCCCCACAUCAGUUCUGAGUAACUUUCACCACAACCACAACAGUCACCAUCACCACCCUCAUCGGUACAGAGUGUUCUAUCACGACAUUAUCUCUCACCACACCACAACACCGUCACCACCAUCAGUACAGAGUGACUUCCUCUCACCACGACGCACUUUUUACCUUUUACUACCACCACCAUCAGCAGCAGCUCUUAGUGCAAUGUUUAAAAGCCAUUAUCAAACUCACUACAAGGAUUAUUAUGUUGCUAUCUCUUCCGCUCGUGUGUCCAAAUGGUCACCCUGUCGUGGACUUACGAUCACCCCCACACUGAAUGAAGCCUUAGGCCAGUCCCUUACCUCCACCUUGGACAAUGAAAAGGUCAGUAUAUUACACAUUUAAAUACAUAUAAACAUUGUAAACAAUACGGUUUUAGUUUGUUUCCUUAUGGUGCUUGGUUUUUGCUGAAAUCCGCGUUGUCGAUCAUGUUUAAAACCCCUACUUCUACAGUCUUUACUGAACCAGUAGGUGGAUUAUGGGUGAUCGGAGAGACGUUCCAACCGUGACCGAUCGGAAAACUAUGUCAUCGAUGUAUAUGGCUCUUUCUAUACAUAUAUAUGACAAUUUUUCCAAGGACAAUGGUUAAAAUUCAAACUUGUUUUAUUUUAUUAUUUUUUAAAAAUAUAUUUUACAUGCAUACAUAUAUAAUACAUAUGUAUAUUUACACAUGCUCAUAUGUGCAUGCAUGUACAUAUUUAUACACAAAUAUACACAACAUACGGCACACACAUACCCAGACACGUAUACACACAUAUACAUCUACACAUACGUACAUACAUAUCAAACAAUGUACGCUCGUACGGUUAUAUAUAACUGCAUAUAUGUAUUUUAGUACCAUGCAUUUCAACAUUUAUGCAUGGAUUACUACAUGUAAAUGAGAGUGUGAGAGAGAGAGAGAGAGAGAGAGAGAGAGGCUUGAGUGGACUCCAUCAACUACAACAUGUUGUGUUAUAUUCGCCAGGAAAUACUUGAUCUAGUGUAGAACUUUUCCACGGAUUCCAACUUUGCCAAUUUUGAGAGUAGGAUAUUAUGGUCUACCCUGUCGAACGCUUUACUGAAGUCAAGAUAUAUGACAUCAGAGUUCGAACCUGUUCCCAAGGCUUUGAGUACAUCUUCAAUGUGGUGUAAGAGCUGUGUUAGACAGUCCCUGCCUCAGCGAAAGCCAUGCUGAUUUGCAUUUAGGAGUUUGUGGGUCUCCAGGAAGUCAGCUAUCCUUGAUCUUAACACUCUUUCAAACACUUUGAUGAUGUGGGAGGUGAGUGAGAUUGGGCGAUAGUUGAGUGCGAGGGAUCUGUUUCCCUGUUUGAAAACCGGGAUGACUGACUGGGAUAGAAACUGUUUCGGUAUAUAACCUGCGUCUAACGAAUUUCUCCAGAGGUUGGUCAGAGGGACUGCAAGUUGGUGUCUACAUUCCUUCAGGAGACUAGCGGGGAAUCUAUCAGGGCCUACAGCAGAGUAGUAUUUGAUCUCAUUUAUUGCUGCUGUGAUGUCAGUGGCAGUGAAGGUUAUGUCUGAGAUUUUAUGUUGAGGGUCAACUUCGUUCGCUUCUCUUGCGUCAAUAUCAGACAGAGCAAUAUUGUUUCUGCAGUAUUUCUGCCAUUUCUUUAGCAUCGUGUUGGGGAAUGCCGUUUUCAUCAAUCAAUGGCCCAAUGGGUGAGACAGUGGUUCUAUGCUUAUUUGCAUAAGAAUAGAACACUUUUGGGUUCUGUUUGAUGUUUUUGAUUACCCACUGUUCCUCCACAGCUCUUUGAUUUUCAAUGGAGGUUUUCAUGUCGUUCUGUAGAUGAAGUUUUUCCAGCUCUAGCCUUUUCAUUGUUGUUGAAUUUGGAUGUUGUAUGUGGGAAUAUUUUAAUUGGUUGAUUUUGUUUGUUGAGUCUUUUGAUGCGCCUGAUGAGUGUUUUUUUCUUUUUAGGAGCCGGUUUCUGUUUGUGUUAGUAGAUUUCGUGGGAGCGUGUUUAGCGCAUGUAUAGGUGACAAUGUUUUCAAAGUGCUGCCAUGCGGUCUCAGUAUGGAUGGAAUUGAGAGUGAAAGACAAGUCGAUGCAAGACAGAUCCUUUCUGGUUGCUCCCCAGUCCGCUUUGUGAAAGUUUAUGUUGUCAAAUGAGUGCCAUGGAGUGGUAUUGGCUGGUUUGGUUUUUAUAUGUCGGGAAUUGAAAUUGCAGAGUAUCAUGUCGAGGUCUGAGAGGAUAGUUUUUUCAACUGAAAUACUGUGAACGAAGCUAGAGUGAUUGGUCAAUACCAGAUCCAAUAUCGUUUUAUUCUGUCUCGUUGGUUCGAGCCCUAGCUGAGUCAGGAAGUAUUCAUCCAUGCGAUUAAAGAGCAGUUCUGCUGCUGCUCUAUCUGAUGUAGAGCAUUUGCCUAACUUCAGAGUAUUUGUGGGCCAGUACACAUAAGGAAGGUUAAAAUCACCCAUCACUAGUAUGUUUCCGGAGUUGUACUUCCGAAGGAAGGACUUGACUUUACUAAGGCACUCUUCAAAGCACUUUAGAGGUGCUUGGGGAGGCCUGUAAAGACCAACAAUGAUUAUGUCCUUGGCCUUGCUGAAUAGUGAUACAGAUUCACAAUAGCCAUUGGAAAAUAUGUCUUUGGCAUCAAGUGAAAAGGAGUCAUGGAUAAAGAUGGCUGUCCCUCCCUUAUUUCGGUCUGUGCGACACACGAACAAUGGUGAAUGCUUGUCAAGAGCAGGGCUCAUUAGCCACCAACGGAGCCGCAAAUGCAAAAUAUAAGUUAGUCCUAGAGCGCACAAUGUUCCUGAAGGUCGGCAAUGGUUUUCCUCGGUCACGAGUGGACGGCCAUUAUUAUUAUUAUGUAUUCAUAUAUAUAUAUAUUUAUGCCCGCGCACCGUCUUUAGUCAAUCAAAACGUACCCUAGGACUUAUUCUGUGGAAUGCUAGUACUCAUUCUAACCGUUACGUUACGGCAGCGUAUGUGUGGACUGUGCUCAAACACGCACAAACACACAUACUGAACACACACACACACAUAGAUACAUGCAAAGAUGCACACUUGUAGGUAUUUAUGCUUUAAAUAUGUUGACUUUAAAACUUUGACAUUCUGAAGAAAUUAAAUGAGUGUGUUUGUAAGCCAAUAUGUGUGUGUGUGUGCUUUAAUUUCUGUGUCUGUGUUUGUGCGCACCUGUGUGACAGAGUGUUUCCGGUUCAAUGUUUGUGCCUGAGUGUGUGUGUGUGUGUGUGAGUGAGUGAGUGUGUACAUGUGUGUUUUCAUUGCUAGGUGUGUGAGUUUGUAACUGUGUUUUCAUUUCUGUGUGUGAGUAUGUGUGAUUAUUUUCAUUUCCGUGCGUGUGUGUGAGUGAAUGUAAUUAUUUCUAUGUGUUCGAGUUUGUUCGUUUGUGAGUGUGUAACUGUGUGUUUUCAUUUCUGUGUUUGUGCGUGUGUGUGAGUGAGUGUUUUCAUUUCUGUGUUGGAAAUAGGUCAGAUAGCAAUAUCAAUCAGGAUACGUUGAAGUGACCCCUGACCUGUUGGGAGUUGGGUAAUUUGGUGCACUACAUUCAUUGACAUGUGUUGAUAUGUGCGUGUGGAAAACUGGAAAUGAUCUUACGAUCUCUUGUAUUUUAUUUUUGAUCUGUUUUACAGAUCCAGGUACUGUGUGCGCAUACGUUUGUGUGUGAGUGAAUGUAUUUAUUUCUAUGUGUUCGAGUGUGUGCGUUUGUGUUCCUCCUCCUACUACUACUACAGUCUACCUAUCUCUCUCUCUCUCUCUCUACCACCACCACUAUCAUUCGUACACUGUAACCGCUCACCACCACUCCCACCAUCAUUAUACAGUCGCUAUCACCACCCCAUCAGUAGAGUAACUUCUCCCCACCACUAUCACCAUCAUCGGUACACCGGUAUCUCCCGCCACCCCCACAUCAGUUCUGAGUAACUUUCACCACAACCACAACAGUCACCAUCACCACCCUCAUCGGUACAGAGUGUUCUAUCACGACAUUAUCUCUCACCACACCACAACACCGUCACCACCAUCAGUACAGAGUGACUUCCUCUCACCACGACGCACUUUUUACCUUUUACUACCACCACCAUCAGCAGCAGCUCUUAGUGCAAUGUUUAAAAGCCAUUAUCAAACUCACUACAAGGAUUAUUAUGUUGCUAUCUCUUCCGCUCGUGUGUCCAAAUGGUCACCCUGUCGUGGACUUAGGCCAGUUCCUUACCUCCACCUUGGACAAUGAAAAGGUCAGUAUAUUACACAUUUAAAUACAUAUAAACAUUGUAAACAAUACGGUUUUAGUUUGUUUCCUUAUGGUGCGUGGUUUUUGCUGAAAUCCGCGUUGUCGAUCAUGUUUAAAACCCCUACUUCUACAGUCUUUACUGAACCAGUAGGUGGAUUAUGGGUGAUCGGAGAGACGUUCCAACCGUGACCGAUCGGAAAACUAUGUCAUCGAUGUAUAUGGCUCUUUCUAUACAUAUAUAUGACAAUUUUUCCAAGGACAAUGGUUAAAAUUCAAACUUGUUUUAUUUUAUUGUUUUUUUUAAAAUAUAUUUUACAUGCGCAGGAGUGGCUGUGUGGUAAGUAGCUUGCUAACCAACCACAUGGUUCCGGGUUCAGUCCCACUGCGUGGCAUCUUGGGCAAGUGUAUUCUGCUAUAGCCCCGGGCCGACCAAUGCCUUGUGAGUGGAUUUGGUAGACGGAAACUGAAAGAAUCCUGUCGUAUAUAUGUAUAUAUGUAUGUAUGUGUGUGUGUCUGUGUUUGUCCCCCUAGCAUUGCUUGACAACCGAUGCUGAUGUGUUUACGUCCCCGUCAAUUAGCGGUUCGGCAAAAGAGACCAAUAGAAUAAGUACUGGGCUUACAAAGAAUAAGUCCCGGGGUCGAUUUACUCGACUAAAGGCGGUGCUCCAGCAUGGCCGCAGUCAAAUGAUUGAAACAAGUAAAAGAGUAAAGAGUAUGCAUACAUAUAUAAUACAUAUGUAUAUUUACACAUGCUCAUAUGUGCAUGCAUGUACAUAUUUAUACACAAAUAUACACAACAUACGGCACACACAUACCCAGACACGUAUACACACAUAUACAUCUACACAUAUGUACAUACGUAUCAAACAAUGUACGCUCGCACGGUUAUAUAUAACUGCAUAUAUGUAUUUUAGUACCAUGCAUUUCAACAUUUAUGCAUGGAUUACUACAUGUAAAUGAGAGAGAGAGAGAGAGAGGUGCUUAUAGAAUACUUGUUCUAAACGAUUAUCAAGAACACACACUCACACAUGAAUCAUAAACUCCGUAUUUUUGUACGUGUUCCGCAAAAAAAAAACAGAAGAAAAUAAGCUGUAAAUGUAUCUAUUUUACAAUUUAUGAACCAAGCAAAUACGAAACUAUGGCGGCUAAAAACUGGUGUCUGACUUUUCGCAAAGCAUUGUGGGAUUGUUGUCGUAUGCUUUUCAAUGGCGACGGUCUCUGUUUUUUUAUUGAAUUUUCGUCUUUGAAUGUUUUUCCUGCAGCUAACAAUUAUGAAAGAAGUAGGUAAGAAAUUAUUAUUAUUGUUAUUGUUAAUAUCUAGAAAAAAUAAGUGAGAGUAGUUGGUGACGAUGUAAAGAGAAAAGCUGAAGGAAGUCUGUUGUGACGGAAGGCCGCUCGGUUUUCAUUUUAUUUAGUGGCAAAAUGUAUAAAAGUUUGGAGUUGAGGUUCAUAAUUAAGAUGUUGGUUAAAACGAAAGAUUAUCUUUCGUUUCUAGUAGACCUUUCCGUCGAUUUCGUAAAAAACUUUUAUUUUUUUUUACAUAUGGGUUUGCGGGAACUUUUGAAGUAAUGAGAGCGAAAGAGACUAAGAGGAAGCGAUUGUAUGAGGAGGGAAUUUCUUUUUGAAGUUACCGCGAAUGGGAAGCUUUGAUGUACAUGUGUGUGUGUGUGUGUGUGUUUGAUGGGGUGUGCGAGACAGAAAGUAUGUUGUGUAAGUGAAGUGCUUCUGUUAGUGUGUGUGAAGAGACAGAGAGAGAUAACUGAAAUUUUUUACUCGGUGUAUGUGUAUAUGUAUGUAUGCAUGUAUGUGUGUGUGUGUGUGUAUGUAUCUAUCUAUGUGUGUGUGUGUGUAUGUAUGUAUGGCCGAUUCAGUGUUUACAUUAUUUCGAGUUAAAACGAGAGAUUACCUUUGCCUGUUUAUGUAACGGUCUGCUAUGUAGAAAACAAUGAGGUUGACUCAAUGGAAUAAUGACAUUGAUCGAAGAUAUAGACACAUUUUUUUUUAUUUAAUCGUUAUACAUGCCUUGUCGACUGCUAUUGUGCAGCCUUAAUGUCUCUGUUGAUGUGACGAUGGUGAUAUGGUAAGAAAAAGACGGGAGAGUUAUAAAAUGAGGAGGAGAUAUUCUUCUCAUGAGAAAAGAGUUGCAUGCAAAGGAAAAAAAAAGUUAAGUCUAUAGAUGUGCACAGAAACUGGGUGCAAGCAUGCAUAUAUAUGCAUGUAACAUGAGACAUGUAAAAGUUUCCAUUUGCAUAAUACUUGGCUGCUUGUCACUUCAAAUAAAGAGUAUUGAACUGAUAUUAAAGCCAAAAUUUUCCUUUCGCUACUAUUAGGAAGUUUUUCAUUUUUACUUUCAGAGUUAAAAAAUGAAUGAUUACACUUAUUUGUUUACAUGCGAACUUUUGUUUAUUUUAUAUCCUUCUAUAUGUUGGAUAUGCAAAUUUCACGAAGCGGGGAUAGACACAACUGUCUUCACACAACCCACUUCAGAUUACUCUACUAAACACAAUACUUCUAAUAAAUAUAAACUCUGAACAAUGUCAACAACUUCCAUGAACUCCCAAUGACUCUCUUUGUCUCAACCAAUAUGCUAAUUUUUUUAUAAGAGUUUUGCUAGUCCAUUCUUCCAAUCCCAUAGGGGUGCCAAUGACUCUCACCACAACAGUUUAUACAUGUAGACUUUUCUUUAUACAUGUAGAUUUUACCAAGCAAGUAGCCCAUGCGAAGCUUCACCUAUAUGUAAGUACAUAAUUUUUUUGUUAAAUUAAGUUUUCUGUUAGUUAACCAUAGCUGUUUGUAAAUUGAACAACUGUUUCUCUGUGUAUAUUGAACAAUUUCCAUAAGACAUAUAUGUUUGCAAAUUUAAAAUAUGUUUGUUUCCCAAUGCCAUGGUUUAGGGUCUAGUUCUACUGUGUGGCAUUUUGGGCAAGAGUCUUCGACUAUAGGUAGGGACCAACAAAUGCAUUUUUAGUGAAAGUGGUUGAUGGGAACUAUAUGAAGCUUAUUGCAUGUGUGUUAUACACCAUAUCAAUUAUGUGAUGCAUGUUAUAGGUAACUGUUGACAAAAAGUGCAAAAUACUCAUUGAAAAAUCAAAAUAAUUUAGAGUAAUGUCAAGAAGGGAUGUGGAAUGGAUAGUGAAAGGUCUGGCUUGGAAGGUGUCCCACAGUAUUGCUGCCUGGGCCUAUGUGUCAUCUUGCUACUGCAAGAGAGUACAGACCAUUGAAUGUUUGUGAAAUAUUGGCAUCUAAGAUUAUGAACUCUUUGGAUUUACUGAUUACCUUGAUGUCAGUGAGAUUGCCAUUGUCAAACAAGAGAUUUGUUACCUUAGUAAGUGUCUACCCUCCAACCAUGUGUUCCUCUGAAGAGAAAAAAAGGACUAAUAUUUUAUCUUUCAUGAAAAAAGCUUCUGUGCAGUAUUCUUUCUGCUUAUAAAAUCUUCAUACUUGGUGAUUUCAGAGAUAAAAAAAAUUGGGAUAUAAUUGGGAAACAUGAAGCCAGAAAAUGCAAUAGUAAUGGCUUGUUUAGUACUGCAAAUGUGUUCGAUUUUUUGCAUAUACUGGGUAACUGUCAAUCUCCUAGUGUGGAGCAUGCUGUAUUUGAGCACCAAAUAUGUGGGAGUAUUUAUGUGAUCAAGAUGAAAGGCAAUUAGGUCUCAUUAAUUUCUGUUUGGUGAGUUGGCCCUGAGGAAAAAUCUAGGGAACAAAUUGAAAUUAAGGCAUGAAUGCAUUAGAGACACUUAGAGGAUCUAGAUCAAAUUAGAGACAGUGAAAACAUCACUAUGUUUUUGAUGGAAAAAAUUGUUUCAUGUUGGAAUGAGUGAAUUUGAAUGAAUGUCAAUAAAAUCUUAGUGUGCAUGAAAAGCUUGAGAGAGAUUUUUGAAAAGGUCUUAAUAUUAAUGUUUCCAUUGUGUUUUGCUUCAAAAACUACAUAGACAUGACAGAAUUAAAUAGACAUCCUUAUAAUUGUUAAAAUUUAUUUAAAUUAUUUAUUAAUUAUUAUAAUGUGAAUAUCUAAUAUUUAGUAGACAGGCUCCUUGCAUUUUUGAAUGCAAGGACCCUAGCAGGCAUGCUACUGAUCUGAUGAAUAUUCUCUUCAUGAUUUUCUUGCCAAGUUUCUUGCAGUAAUAUCAAAAGAUCUGGCUUUAAGGAUGCUUUCUUUUUCUUUUUUAGGAAGUAUCCCAUCCAUCAUGCCUCAGAUGUGUUCAGUAGGGUUCAUAUCUGGUGAUUGGCUUAGCUAUGGAAGCUUUUUAAUGCCAUUCUCUUCCAACCAAUCCUGGGUCUUUUAGUUGUGCAAGAAAGCCCUAUCUUCCAUAAAUAGUGUUAUUUAAUCAUUUUACUCCUGGAGGUUAUAGGAAGAAGAUUUUUCUAUAAUAUGGACACAUAUUUAUCUGAGUUUAUGUAUCCCUCACAUUCCACCAUUUCUGAUUGACUAUUGCUCCAAACUGCUCUCUAGACCAUCACAUGUUUCAUUGUUGGCUGCAAUAUAUUCACGUGAAAAUAUUGGUGACUGAUUCUCCAGACCCACAUUCGAUCAGUGUCAGAAAAUACAGCAAAUCUGGAUUCAUCAGAGGAUUUGACUGUGUCCCAAAGUGCUAGUGACCUCUCUACCAUUUCACUUGUCCAAUCUUUUCUCCAUUUGAUAUUGGCUGGUCGAAGCAGUGUCUUCUUUCUUGCUGCUCUGCCAUAAUAGCCAAUUUUGCGGAGAUAACUGACAGCUAUUCUGGGACUGACAUCAACUUAUUCUGCUAUAUUGGAGGCCUUGCAAUGAGGAUUAUCUUACACACUUCUCUUAAGAAAGCAAAGUGUUGUCAGAGGGCCUUAGUCUACCUGGGUAAGGUGAUAUGGACUACUUUCCCGUUUAGUGAAUUGAAAAAUUACUCUAUUUACUGUAGAAAGUAGAAUCACAAUGUUUUCUGUGGUUUUAGGCUAAGUCAGCCUUGAAAUAGGUGCAGCAUAUGGCCUCUUUGUAAAUUGGACAUUUUUAAGGCUUCUUUUGUACAUGGCAUGAUUAAACAGUUACAUAUAGAACCUGAAACAUAUAAAUGUCAAUUAAUAAAAAAAAUAUAAACCUCUUCAAGUUAUAAUAACAAUGUGUUAAUGGGUAUCUAUUUACUUUUGUCAUGUUUGUGUACAAAUGUAUCAUUUGUUACAACUGCACUUUGAAAGAAAAAGAAAACCUUUAGUAGAAAAUUAGCAUUAGCUACGACAACGUUACCCAAC